rnacentral:lncRNA from 1 species
UCAUUUCUCAACUCUAAACCCUAAACUCUAAACCCUAAACCCUAAACAAUAAACCAUAAACCCUAAACCCUAAACCCUAAACUCUAAACCCUAAACCCUAAACUCUAAACUCUAAACCCUAAACCCUAAACCCUAAAUCCUAAACCCUAAAUCCUAAACCCCACCCUUUAAUUCUAAACCAUAAGUUUGUGACUUUUGAUAAAACAUUAAGUGCUAUUUUUGUGACUUUUGACCUUGAGUGCUAGUUUGGGAACAUAAACUUGAUUUAGUGCUAUUUUUGUCUUUUUCUCAUAAAUGUAAGAGUAAUGAUUCUGGGACGUUUUGGUUUCUAUGGUUUCUCUGCAGGGUGGAGGCACGGAAGAAGAAGGAGAAUGACGCAGGGGAAAAUAACCUUAAAAAUUUAUGGGCCUAUACUAAUCAUACAUAAGCCCAAACAAUUUGUUUCUGAUGCCCAAAUAUCGGGCCUCCCCGUGACGCGCGAGCAAGGAAGACAGCGUACAGACCACACUACGCUCUAGGCCUGAAGGGAGAGCGUGGGCUACACAGACGUCCUACCGAGCUGACACGUGUCAACAAAAACCCCAACCUAUUUUGGUGUCGUGGAGGACUGUGUGCAUCACACAAAUCAACUUUAUUAUAUAUAGAUUUCAAACUCUUAUUCAAAUGUCACUUAUUCUAAAAUCAUACAUGACAGUGUUAGAGGCCUCGACCACCAAAUUAAAUAAAUCAUAAUUUUUAAGCUCAGAUUUUAAUAAUGAAUAUAGGUCUCAACCUUCAUUUUUAGUUUGAAUUUAUAAUAUAUUGAGUAGAUUUAGAAAAAAAUGAUACGUUUAUAAUAACUGCAACUUUUUAUAUGCUUGGUUUUAUAUUUGUAUAGCUUGAUUUUAAAUAUACAUAUAUAUAUAAAUAUGGGCGAAAAUCUUUCUAAUAACAAGAUUUACUUCAUUUUAUAGUUUCUAUACUAUUAAACACACAAAUUUGAUCACAUCCAUAAAUCAAUAUGACUUUUUAACUUAAGAGACACUUCAGAAAAUCAUCUGUUAAAAACAAAUUCUAUAUUUUACACUAUUUUUUAUAAAAAGAAUUUAUAGUAAAAUCUGUUAUUUAAAAUCUACUAAAACUUACAAACCUAUAAUAUUAAAUUAAUCAAAAAUAUGCCACGUAAUUCUUAAGUCUCACCAUCUCAGCAACAAAUGCAGUUCUUAUAAAAUGCACACAAGCAAUAAAACGAGAGACUGGACAUUCGGGUCUUCAUGCCAGUACAGAUCGGUUCCUUUUGAGUUUGGGUUCCUUGGGUCCUAAACAAUUGAAUAAUUGGGUAUUUGAAAACUUUUGGUUCGUCUUCAGGUUGGUCUUUUUCAGGUUGAAGUUAGAGCAGGUCCAUAAUUUGAAUAACUGUAAUUUUUGGGAAUGUGGCGGGUCUAGAUUGGUUUGGAUAUUUAGUACCGAAAAAGAAUCAAAGUAUUCAAAAACCGAGAAACUGAAAAUACCCAAAUCUUUUUCCAAGUACCCAAAAUACACUUUUUAAAAAUUUGGAAUUUCAACUGAAACCCGAAAUUAUAAUCGAAAACAAAAACCAAAUUUUUUUUUAAAAAAAGUAUAUAUAGUACCAAAAACCUAUCCAAAAUAUCCAAUAUACCUAACAUACACAAAAAAAUUUGAAGUACUGUAAGUACCCGAUCGGGUUUCGGGUAUGAACCAGACCCGCUGGUCCAAGAAUAAAAUCUAAUAUGUACUUUGCCUUUGACCCAGACCCAAACUGUACCAAUAUUGUAUGAUCGAUUUCGGUUUAUUUUUUCGGUUCCGGAAAAAUAUCCAAAUGUAAACGAAAGAAAGAGUUACAUAAGAGUGUACAUACAAAAAAUUUAAUAAACUAAUUCAUAAAUUAUAUAAUUUUAAUUAAACUUUUUAGGUAUAAUAUGACUCUAUAACAUGAUAAUAUACAAAAACUAUAAAAAACUAAUUCACAAAUUUUAUUUACAACCUAAAGAACAACCCGCGCUUUCUAAGCGAGGAUCAAAAGGAUUAUAAUUUUAGAAACAUUUAACUCAUUUUGGUGAUCAUUAAGAGCACACAAUCAAACCCAAAACUUGUCUUUUGUAUGAGCUGUGAAAGUUGUUGAGAAAGGUGCUCUAAUUUUCUGUUUGGUUGAUGGUAAUUUAUUAGUGAUUUUGUGUUUGUGUCAUGGUCAUAUAUAUAUGGUCCGGUAAGGUUCUUUAGUUCUUACAUUUACUGGUGAACAUGUUCUAGGUCGAUAAAGCAGAUCAUAAAAAAUAUAUUAUUUAAUUUUCUCAUCAGAGUUAUUAGCAAAGUGAUACUUCCUCUGUAUUUUAAACCGUUUGUUCUUGUGGUGCCAUCUUAAAACGGAUUGGUUUCAAGUUUGUAACUCUUGAUGUAUUUUAUUAUGCUUCUGUUUGCAGCACUUCGGGCUGUCCUUUCGGAGAGAACUGCCAUUUCUUGCAUUACGUACCCGGAGGAUACAAUGCUGUAGCAGCUGACAAACAUGACACCACCCAUGCCUCAAGUUUCAAGAAACAUGCAAGGGAGAUUCUCAGGGAGAGGAGACUCUGGUCCUGGCCACCUCUCUAGCUUUGGUGCCUCGGCCACUGCAAAAAUCAGCGUGGAUGCUUCAUUGGCAGGCGCAAUCAUUGGAAAAGGUGGAGUCAGUUCCAAACAGAUAUAUCGUCAAACAGGGGCGAAGCUAACGAUUCAAGAUCACGAGAGGGACCCGAACCUGAAGAACAUUGAGCUUGAAGGAACGUUUGAGCAGAUAAACGAAGCGAGCGUGAUGGUUAGAGAGCUGAUUGGGAGGCUCAACUCGGCAGCUAGGAGACCACCAGCUGGUGUUGUUGGUGGGGUUGGUUCUGAAGGGAAACCGCAUCCAGGGAGCAACUUCAAGACGAAGAUGUGUGAGAGAUUCUCUAAAGGAAGCUGUACGUUUGGUGAUAGAUGUCACUUUGCACACGGGGAAGCGGAGCUACGCAGGUCAGGAAUCUCCUCCUGAGUUAUUAUUGCUGGAGUUAGAAGAGAAGUUUACUUGCAAAACAAGUCUCUUCCUUUUGUGCUCAAUUCACGUCUUCACCUACUUACUUUUUUUUUGUGCUGUUUUCUUUUGUUUAUGAGAAUACAAUGUUAGUUUCAUUGUCAUUGUAUGUUUUUUUUUUAGAAUUUAGUUUUUGUUAGAUCAAGUUUGGGAGGUUUCAUGAAUGAUAUUCACAACAAACAGUGGCUAGGAUUUGUAUGCUGCCUUUAUUUGAUUAUCUCCAUAUCAUCUGGUCAUAUGAUUUUCUGAAUAUGUUGAGGGUUUUUCUUGUAGUAGAAAAAAUAUCUAUAGGACAAAUAUAAUCAAUUUCGUGCAUGUUUAACGGUUCUUCCAGUUCAUCAAGUGAUAGAGCCAUUAAGGCUUGGUCCAUCGACCCCAUGGCAUCAAAGUCUACAUUAGUGGAGUUUUCAGAUCCAUAAACAUCCGUUGGUCUUCCUUGCCUUGUUGGCUUUAGAAAAUGUUUAAAGAGAAAAAAUAAAAUAAAAAUAAAAAAGUUGUAAAAAUCACGUAUUAUUGCUUUGUUGGCUUUAGAAAAAACAACACAAAAGAAGAUAGAGAAAAUUUUAAAGACUUUAGAGAUUUAGGAUGAUUAUUUUUUAAAAAAAGUCUGAUUAGUAUAGGUGUAUAAUUUUCGUUUGACAAUUGUCAAAAAUAUCUUAUGUGGAUCUAAGUACACUUCCUUAUGUAUUUUCGUUUGUUUGUUUGUGCAAAGUGCAACCAUACUUCGUUGCGUCCAAUACACCACUAAAAAUAACACUCCUUUUCUAGUGGUGCACUUUUUUUCAUUUUUGUGGUUAUUCACAAUGAAAAUUGACAACCUUGUGUAAUAUUAGGGUGCCAACUCAACUGCCAAGGUUCUUUAACAAAAAAAAACGAAAAAUAAUAUAGCGAAAAAGUUAGCCAAUCAAUUUAAAGACAUGUGUAAUCUAUAGUUUAACUCUAAAAUAUAUUAUUUACAUUUUUAAAUAAUCAUAUAAAAAAUGCUUCAACUCCUAAAAUUUCAUCAGGAACAAUAGAAAAAAAAACAAUUAAAAAGAAGCAAAAUCAGACCAUUUUAUUCAGCAACUUUCCUUAGCUGCAUUUUAGAAAACAUGACAGUCAAUAAAACAGAGAUCGCAACUCUAGUUUCAACUUAUGCCACUGCAAAAAGUCAACCUUUUUGGACGGAUAAAUGGUAGAAAGACCAGAAGACCCACACACCGGGGCCCAUAUAUUGACAGCGUGGCAUCACAGAAGCCCACCAGCCAAACUAUCUCGUUCUUGUCCGGUCUUUCCUAGUUUCAUCGUCUCUCACCGGUUUGUCUCUCCACGCUUCUCUUACCUGCGUUCGAUUCCGUAAUCUCGACUCCGAAGUCUAACUCUUCGUCUGAGAGACGAAGACCGCUCGUCUCAGAGAAGGCGUUUUCCAGACUCCCUGCGACGACGACGAGAUUACCGCUGCUUGGCUCGCACCUAAAGACGUUCCUCCUCAGAAGAUGUCAUGUGUUGUUGUUCAUAUUGCAGGUAGCACCAUUACAGAUAGAUUCUUGUGUAUUUCAAGUAUGAAUCUCUUUAUUCACAUGGAAACAGAUUCCAUAGUUAUAGAACUAGUUGCUCUGCUCUAUGGUGGAAUGGCUUUUUCUAAUUGUUUAUGUGAUCUUCAUCUGUGCACGCACACCAGCUUAUGGGAUAAUAUUUAUUACAAUAGUUAUUCAGUUUGUAAAUAUCAUAUCUUGGUGCAUUGCUUGUAGGGACAGGUGAUCAUACAUAUGACAGGAGAUUGCGUCUAGGUUGACCUUUGGUGAAGCAAAACAUUGCAACAAUGGUGCUGGAGAGGUAAUCAGAGAGACUCUUUCUCUCUCUCUCUCUCUCUCCUGUGACUUGAAAUCUUCUUUUUGCUUUGAUCAAACAUUAGAUAAAUCCCCACUGCAUCCCUUUCUCCUCUGUGUUAGUGAUCUACUUUUACUAGGGAGGGCAACGAUCGAAGAGUCUCGCAGUCUUCUUAUUCACUGGCUAGACACCGAGGAAGGCUUUGGAAAGAUGGGUGUUUGUGGGCGCGUAGUAUGGGUAAGCCAUGAAACUAACUUGUGAACUAUUGCAUCUCACAUCAAGUGACUGACUGACUUGUUCUUUGCUUUCACAGAAACUUGAAAAAAUGUUAACGGAGGAGUACAACACUUCCCUACCUAUCUCCACACUCUGCAGUUGUUGCGUUCAUACUAAAGCAUGGAAGCGCUUUGGAGGCACCAAGGGAAGAACUUGAAGCGCAGAAGAUCACAAUGAUUCUUGACCAAGUGAGAGAGAGAGAGAGAGAGGAUGAGAACUAUUCUCUCCCUCACUUCACUGAUGAGAGAAAUCCUGAAGCUGUCAUGUUUGUUGCUGCAACUGUAAGUAGAUAAAUCAAUCCAUACAUUUCUGAUGAUGAUGGUGAUUAUCUUAUACGAUUGUGUGUAGGAUGAUGGAUACAUAACAAUGACGAGUUUCGCAGGGCGAUAAUGGACGGUCUCGAUAGAGUAGACUGGAAGGAGUCAUGGUGACUGUCGUCAUACCAUUGUAACACAACUCCAUCUGCCUUUUUCUCACAACCUCUGUCUCCUUAUGCCUUGUUACAAUUUGGUUUAAUCGUGAAGAAAAGUGACUCUUUGUGGGUUUUUUUGCUUCAAGCUAGGUAUGUAUAACAUUUUUGUCCCCACAUUUUGAAUCUUCUUCGAGCAAUUAGAGCUAAUCUGCUCAUUGAGCUAUAAAGCUGUUGAGGGUCCUGCGUUAUCGAAUACUGUUGCAGCUAGUUUUAGGCACGUAAUUUUAAAAAGUUAGGGUUUUUGCAAUUUAUUGACUCUUUGUAAUUCUCACAGGGUCGGCAUGCGUUGGUGUAUGAUAUAAACGCAAUAAAUGAAACGUGGGAAUGGGUUGAUCUCAAGGAGGUAAGCUUUUGACAUGAUGAGGAUCUUUGAUAAGAGCUGACAUUGUUUUUUUGUUUGUAGAUACCACCUGAAGAUAUAAGGUGGGAUGAAAAGAGGAUAGUGGGGGUAGCCUUAAACACUGGACCUGGAAGUGGAUCAAUCCGUGGCAACCGAAGAAACCAAGGCCACAUUGGUAGAGGGAGAGGACCAAGAAUUCAUCAGCCGAGAAGAGAAUUUUUGCCACCACCAACACAACAGAAUGGUGGUGGUGGUGGUGAUGAUAUUGAAUUGUUCAACACAGACUUGCUUGUGAAGGAGGUUAGGUUUCUGUAUGUAUUGUGUCCAUUAAGCUUAGCGGAUGUUCUAAAGAUCAAAGCUUUGUUUUAGGUGGAGAGAGUUUUCGAUGCUACGCAUCCUGAUCCAUUUGAGCUUGAUAAGGCGAAGAAAAUGCUCAAGGUUUGAGACUAAGACCAUGAUUAACCCGGGGUUCUUAGAGUGAGGUUCUUAGCGGAAGUUAAGAAACUAUUUCUUAACUUUUAACUAAAAAAACUAAGAACCGGUUCUUAAAGUCCUUAUUUAAGAACCGGUUCUUAACUUUUUUAGUUAAAAGUUAAGAAACAGUUUCUUAACUUGAGGUAAAAACCUCAUCCUAAGAACUCCGGGUUAAUCAUGCUCUAAUAUUCUUUCUCUCGGCUAUUGCGAGUUGGUUUAAUGUUGUGGUUUUAGGAAAAUAACACAAAAGUUGUGUGAUGGCAGGAACAUGAACAGGGCGCUUAUGGCUGCCCUUGCAAGGCUUGCUGAUACUUCUGAUGGUGAAAUUGGUAAUAAUAUAAAAAGGCAAGGUUUCAUUUUGUUUGCAAUCUCAGAAUAGUCUUGUAUUUUAUCGUUCAGUUGUCUGCUAUGAUGAUAAUUUUUUAAGGAUAAAAUAGCAAACCGAAUCCCACCAAUAAAAGCUUUAUCACCUACUUUGCUCAAACUCGAUAGUAUCUAACCUGCAAAUACAUGAAUUGCUUUAAAAAAAUGGGUCUUGUUCUGGAACUUUGGACUGUGUGCUUCUCUAUUGCAGAAACAUGAUAUGAUUUUUAAUGGGUUUCCUGCCACCAGAUGGAGAUCCACCAUAUUCGCAUGACCAUCCAAUGCAUCAGGGAUGAAAGAAAAGCUGUCUUUUAACUGAACCCACCAAGGACACAAGAUGGAAAUGAGCUAAAUGUAUGUUAUGUUAAGUUAGGAUCGGGACGUAGUAAGAUUCUCUGUAAAGCAACAAUAUUUUUUUGGUUUUUAGAGAAUUUAACCUGUGACUAAUGAUUGAGCCAUGUAAAAUGUUUGUUCCGGAGUCCACCUCCAUCAGACCUGCCAUCAAAACGCAUACAGUUUAUGUGUUCUGUUAUAUGGUUCUUCAAACAUCCAUGCAUUAUACAAUACAAAAUCAAAACUGCCAUGCUAUGUGUGACUUACAGAAAACACUUGCUGCCCCCUUUGUUUUUUUGCAUUCAUCUUCGAUCAAAGUUGUUGCUUGCUGAAGCAUGGACACCAGUUUGCGGCGGCGAUUACGUUCUAAUCCCUAGGAUAUUUGAAUUAGGAUAAAUCAGGUUCCGGACAUACAAACAUAUUAAAAAACAGCGAUGGAAACGUAAUAUAGCUCAUGAAGGUUAAUGAUUAUAAUAUUUUUAAAAGAAGAAGAUUAACCUCCGGAAGGAGAGAAACACGCCGUAGAGAUUUGGCGGGAUCGAGUUUCACUAAGGUUUAGAGAAAUCACACGAUCGAGAGAAGAAGAUGAUGCGAUUGCUUUUCGUCCAAGUCAUGAAGGAGAGAGGAUGGUUAGACGUCGUCGACGAUAAUAGAACCAAAGAAGCAAUGUUGACCUCUUUCUUCUUCUUCUCUCAACGAAAGAAGCAAUUUUUAAUAAGGCUUUAGUGAUUUAUUCAAAACGAAGAUAUGUAAAUUAUAUAUGUUUUGUACAUAGAUAUAUCAGCCAAACUAAGCAACGUAUAACUCAAUAUCAUAGUUCAAACUACGACCAUAUAAUAUAAAAAAGUAGCAAAAGGUUUAAAAUUAAUAAUGAUAAUCAAGAAAAAACAAGUGCUAUAAAAAUAUAAUAUUAGGCUCCACUUGGUAAAUCAUCAAAAUGGAAAACCUUUUCAAAUGUGGGUUUUAUGAACCCACUCUAGUAAUACCAUGGACAUUUCAACACUACUUAAAAUUACUAAAUUAAGAUCUGAAAAUAUUAUAUGUAUUAUAAAAGAGAUGCUCUCUAAGCUUCUUAUUACUCAUGACCAGAGGUCUAUAUUUAUACAAGUAUUAUACCGUCUUAUUUAAACCGUCAUAAGAGAAAAUGAAAUCAUAUUCUUAAUAGUACUUAUCCUAAAUACAUAUGGAAAAGGAUAAACAUCAAGUAUAGAUAUAUGUAAACUCUCAUUCGUCUAAGUCAUUAGCGAAUGGGCCGGAUGGAUAGCUGAUGAGCCGGACGGUUUGAACCUAAUAUGAGUCGAUCACCACUUGGUUUAUAACAAUAUGACGGUUCUAUAACCAACAUACUUUAGUUGGUUUAUUAGGAUUAAUGCAUGAUAGUUUUACUUUCACUAUAGUGUGAACCAUACUUUUGACUGAAUUAGAAAUCAUAAAGUCUUACAAAUCCAAAUAGUAUAAAUAAAUAAUAACUAACUUCUAAUCAAAUCAUAUCAGGACUAAAAUGACUUUUUGUGUUAGGAAUCCAUAAUCCCAAAUAUUGGAAACCUAUGGACAAUUUUCACUAUGAAUUCAUACAAAGAAUAUGCCUUUAUUUAUCAGUAUCAAAGUAAAACCACAAAACUACAGAGAGUCUACUAAUAAUAAAUCUCACAAUUUGUGGUUUUUUUCUUUUAAUUAUUUUCACAUUUUUUUUUAAUUUUUAAUAAUAUGAAGUCAUUAGGCCAUCGGUAUCGGGAGCCCUUAGGCCCGUCCCGUAGAUAUAAAUGGGUCGAGAAUAAAUGAAAAGGAAAUUAAAAGAGAGUGGGACGGGCUUUUAGUAAGGGCUAUUCGGGCUCGUCCCGUAGGCGACAUGGCAGCACGGGAGUGGGCAAUGGAAUCAGUGACUUGUUCGGCUGUUGUUCUCCUCGAGAAUUCUGAAAUCGAAAUCAAAAACAAAAAUCAAAAGCUCGAUGGCGAUGGCGAUGGCAAAGCCUUGAUCUCCAAAUCCAUCUCUUCAAAUCGAAAGCCAACCCUGCGUCUUCUCUCUUUCACUGGAGUGGGAGAUCUCUUUAUCUCCGUUGGCGAGGUCGCAGCUUCUGUCGUCGUUUGAUCCCCAGAUCCUCCUCCAAAGCUCAAUCCACAUCGGCUCGCUUCCGUUCCAAUACGACGAGAACCAAUCCUCCCCAAAACUUUUGAGAAUCGUCCCAAUCUUAACAAGGUUUGUUUUUCAAGUCCGAUCUGAUUUCAAAUUUUUUUUUAGGGUUUUGUCAAAAUUCGGUGAAUAAAAUGGUAUUUAUCCGAUGUUGUUUAAUAGAUUUGAUGGCAAAAAGAUAUAGAUUCAUUGGUUUGAGAACAAUUGUGUAGAUUCUAGGGUUCGGCAAUUUAUGAUAGUUCGUAUAGAUUUCAAAAGCUUUCUAUGGUUCGAUUGUAUGAUUGUUUCGUUGUAGCUUGUGUGAUUGUUUCGUUUUGAUUGUAUGAUUGUUUAGUUGGUAAAAAACAUCCUUGUUCGAUUCAAAUUUCUAUGUUCGAUUGUUUAGUAUAGAUUUGAACAACUGUAUGAUAGUUCGUAUAGAUUUAUAUGGUUCGAGAUCAAUUCUUUAACUGGUUUAGAGUUUGAUAUGUGUGCAAAUUCAAAUCUGUGAAAAUAAGCUCAUGUCAUUUGUAUAGAUUUGAUUCGUAUAGACUAAUAGUUUAGAGUUUGAUUAGUAUAGAUUUAAAUAUCUCAUGUCAUUUGUCUUGAUUAGCUUUCUUCAUGAGACUUUGCAUUUUCAAUAGUUCGUAGUUUAUAGAUUAAUGUUUUUUUUAAUCUUGCAUAUAGUAAUGCAUUCAACUGAUUGUUUCUCUGUCUUGUGUUAGACAUUUUGUGGUUAGAAAUAUUAAAUGUUAGAUAUAUAUUUAAGCCACUGAUGUUUUAAAAGAAAGUUGAUAGCUUUUUAGUUGUGUAAUAAGUUGGGAUUAGACAUUUCUUAUUCGGAGUUUGCCAUUAAGGCAGUGAUGUACUUUGUAUUCUUCACUUCCUCCUAUUUAAAUCUCUUAUCUUUUCUCUCUUCUGUCAUCUCAUUAGUCUUUCUCCAAGAAAUCUCUUAUAUUUUCUUACUGUUAUGGAUCCAAGCAAUCUUCGUAGCCAGUCCUCUAGAUACGUAGGACUGCUUCACAGUCAACAAGGUAGCGUUUUCCACGAAAACUUUCCUUAUGAAAGUUUUCAUUCUAGUGUUAACUUUGGAGAAUCAUAGACUUUUCCGGCUUUCAGUUCACAACAAUCUCAAGACGCACCAGUAGAGACACCAGUACAGACACCAGCAGCCCAUGUUGUAAGACACAAAUGGAAUCCAGCAGAUGACGAGGUGCUGAUCAGUGUGUGGCUUAACACUUCCAAGGAUGAUAUUGUUGCAAAUGAGCAGAGGUCGGGGGCCUUCUGGAAAUGGGUUGCUGCUUAUUAUGCAUCAAUUCCUCAUGGAAGAGAGGAUGGUGUGAGAGAGCACGGUUGUUGCAAGAAGAGGUGGCACAGAAUCAAUGAAGAUGUUAACAAGUUCUGUGCCGUAUACUCGGCAGCAGAACGACAAAUGAGCAGUGGUGAGACUGACACUGACGUUCUGAAGAAGGCGCAUGACAUUUUCUUCUCUGAUCAAGAGCACAAGUUCACACUUGAACAUGCUUGGUGUGUGUUGAGGUAUGAACAGAAGUGGCUCAGCCUUAACACACCCACGGCUGGUGGCGUUUCGAAGAGGAAGAAUGUGCAGAUAAAUUCCCAAACUUCUACCAACGAAGGCUUCGUUGAUGUUGAGAGCAGGCCCAGAGGUGUCAAGGCUGCUAAGGCUAAAAGAAAUGCGGGUAAAGGGAAGUCCGUGGCUGAGAUUGCGACCGUUUGGGAAAUGAAGAAGGACGAUUUGGUGAGGAAGGAGAGACUGUCGAGGCUAGCAAUACUAGACACUCUCCUUGCCAAGACUCAACCAUUGAGUGAGGCGGAAGAAGCUGUGAAGAAUAAGCUCCUAGCCGAGUUAUUCUGAAAAAAAUUAAGAAGACGAUGUCUCUUUAUGUCUUUAAUUUUCUGUAUGCUCUAUGUUCUUGUUUGGUGUUUGCUCUAUGUAGUUCCGGUUUCCUUAAAUGGGUUUUUAUAAAUGAAUCAUUUUCUUUUAAUGUGUUUGCUCUAUGUUUGUGUAUAGCUCUUUGUUUCUAACUGUAUAGAGCUCUUUGUAAAUAAAUGUGUAUAGCUCUAUGUUUGUAACUGUAUAGCUUUAUGUGUAUCUAAUUUAAAUUUCGACAAUGUAUGCAUGUUAAGUAAAAAUGGGACGUUACAGCUAUACGCAGCCAUCAGAUGACGAGGAUUUAUUUGGAAACAAUGACGACAGUGACUACAGCGAGACGGAUGAUCUCAUACGACGUGACCAAGCUGAGCUAAGCUUGGAACGUAGUUCACAGGUUCACUACCCUCCGCAACCGGAGGUUGAGUUUGGUUUCCCGCAGGUUUGCUAUUUUGGUGCUAAGCCACUGCUUGCAACGUCUAAUACUAGGCAAGAUCAAGGUAUGUGCUAGUUAGUUACUGACUUGCUUAUGUGCUGGUUUGUGUAUGUGCUUAGCUAGUUUUGCGUAUGUGAAACAGGGAGAAGAUAUUACACUUGUGCGAAGAAAGACGACGGCGAAUGCCAUGUCUACAAAUGGUGGGAUGAGGCGCUGAUGGAGGGGAUGAGAGCCAGAGAUAUACAUGUGCUUCAGCUGGGUGAAAAGGUAGAAAGCCUAACCCUUUUGACUGACUAUGACACAGAGCAGAAGAUACGAAACCUAGAGAAGAUUGUGGGUGAUAUGGCUAAGGAGAAAUCUUCUUUUAGUUAUGGGUUUGAGUGCUUUGUAAUAGGCGUAGUUGUUCUUGUUGUUGUAAUAGGCUUGGUGGUUAUGUUUGGAUAAUUUUAACUAUGUAAUCAAUGUAUUUUCUCGGAUGUAACCGAUAUGGUUUUGUACUCUUUUAUUUGUGCUCGUGACCAAAUAGAAUGGCUGACCAUAAGUCACAUGAUCACAAGUUUCUUAUUUGUAACAUAUAGCUCGUGACCAAGCUGACCAUAAGUGACAUAUAGUUUCUUUUACAAGAUGUAACCAUAAUAAGUUAGAUUGUUUAUAUACAUGUUUAUUUCAUUUAUAACCAUAAGUCACAAGUUGAGUUUCUUUGUACUAAUAAAUCACAUGAUCCAAAGCCACAUGUUUAUUUUGCUUUCUACCAAUAAGUCACAAGAUGUACUAAAGAGUUUAUACCAAUAUUCAUUCACGGGAGGAUUCAUAGAGACUUCUUCUUUAUCAUAUAAGUAUUGAGACCUUCUCUCAUUACAAAUGUGCAAAGUCUCAUCUUCUCUUAAAGUUCUAAACAUUUUUUUUCUCUUGUAAAAAUUGUCAAUGGCUUCUUCUUCCCAUUAUCAUUACCACAAAGAUGAUGAUGAUGAAUUAGAUGACGUAUUUGAAGAUUUAUUUGAAAAAAUUGAUUUCAAUCCAAAACCAAAAGAGCGAAAAACACGAGUUUUUAUCGAGAGACAUCGGGAGGAAGGCCAUCAGAAGCUCUGGAAUGAUUAUUUUAGCGAAACUCCAACAUACCCGCACAAUGUAUUCCGGCGACGGUUUCGAAUGAGCAAGGCAUUAUUCUUGCGUAUUGUGCAUCGUCUCUCUACAUAAGUUGAGUAUUUUCAACCCAGAGUAGAUGCAACCGGACGGUCGAGUCUAACUCCGCUCCAAAAAUGUACCGCAACAAUUCGUCAAUUGGCGUAUGGUGGUGGGUCUGACACAGUUGACGAAUAUGUCCGAAUUGGUGAAACAACAGCUCGAAGAAGUUUGCACAAUUUUUCCGCGGGAAUAAUCCACUUGUUUGGCGAUGAAUACCUAAGACGUCCCAUACCGGAGGAUCUGCAAAGACUACUAUAUAUUGGAGAACAACGUGGGUUUCCAGGGAUGAUUGGAAGCAUCGACUGUAUGCAUUGGGAGUGGAAGAAUUGCCCCACGGCUUGGAAAGGAAUGUAUUAACGAGGAAUCAGAAAACCAACGAUUGUCUUGGAGGCGGUAGCUUCAUAUGACCUCUGGAUAUGACACGCGUUUUUUGGAGCUCCAGGUACUAUGAAUGAUCUUAAUAUUCUCGAUCGAUCAUCCGUUUUUGAUGACAUUAUUAACGGAAUAGCGCCACAAGUUAACUUCUAUGUUAAUAGUAAUCCAUACCAUUUGGCAUAUUAUCUCACGGAUGGUAUUUAUCCGAAAUGAGCUAAUUUUAUUUAAUCUAUCCGACUACCACAAGGUCAGAAGCAUUCAUUAUUUGCUCAAACCCAAGAAGUUGUGCGAAAAGAUAUCGAGCGUGCCUUCGGAGUCCUACAAGCUAGGUUUCCCGUUGUUAGAAAUCCAUCUAAUAUAUGGGAUAAAGAAAAAAUAGGAAAUAUUAUGAGAGCAUGUAUCAUACUCCAUAAUAUGAUUGUCAAAAAUGAACGAUCACCAGGAACUGAGGACAACGUUCAUGAAUUUGAAGAAAGAGAAGAUGUGGCUACAUUUUCCUUCAAUAUGCCUUCACCUAUCGUGAGUACAAUUGAUCGUCGAACGAGCGUUCAGAAUAGACAAGUCCAUCAACAUUUAAAAAAUGAUUUAAUUGAAAAUAUAUGAGAUAAAUUUAGACAUCUUACACAUAACAAAUAAUUUAUAAGUUUUUAUUUGUAUUGAAAUAAAUGUUUGUGUGUUUUUUUUUAUUAUGAUGUUUGGUAUUUUUUUCUUUUCAACUUUGUAAUUUUCUUAAGAUUUUAAUUUUAAUGUUAAACUUGUUUUUUAUAUGUUUUAUUUAAAAUUUCUUUUAUAUGUUAUUCAUUAUUAAAAUAAUAAAUUAAUUAAAUAAUAAUCUAAGGGACCAGCAAAAUCCCACUAAUAAUCUACCAAAUUUUUUAAUGUCUUUAUCUUAGGUCCCUUAACAUAUGAUCUUAGUAAAAAAAAUGCUAAGGCCUGUAAGUUGAGUCCCACCGAUAAGGAUGCCCUUACGUCUCCAAAAAAACAGGGGAAGAAGGUCGCAUCUUGACUUUCUUCCAAUCGUUUGAGCAAGCAGAGCUUUUGAGACUUGGGUGCUAAAAUGGCAGCUCUUUCAACGGUUCUGUCUCUUGGUUUCGGGUCACUUCGCCGCCCUUGGCGCCUUUCCUUCUUCUCCUCUUUCAAUUCGCUCCGGCAACAACAGACCUCACUUCUCCGAUGCCAAAGUCUCGUCCUUUCGAGGUCUCCGCUUAACAGGGCUCUUCAAGCUUCCCUUCAAUCCAGUACGUUAUCUAAUCAAUUUUUGACUCGAUCCCCUUUCAUGGGUUCGCGUUAGAUUAAUUGAAUUCAGUCAAUCAUUCAUAUAUGAAAAACUCAAAACUUUAUAUUCAGACAUCUCUUGUGUUAAAAAUGGUGUCUUUAUAAAGCAUUCAUUUUUAAUUAUAUAGAUUGUGUUUCAACGGUGCCACUUCACAUUGUCUUGGUUGUGUCUAUUAGAUUAUGCUCCGGUUACAUCACCGGGAGACCAUUCUGAGAUUGUGUUUAUGGGUACUGGAACAAGUGAAGGGAUCCCUCACUAAUCCUCUCAAAACAUGUUCGGUAUUUUAUUUUUCUUCAUUGCUGACUUGUUCAUCUUUGAUUUCAAUGGGAUCUCAUUUGAAAAGGAAAUAAUCCAUUUUUGAUUCUGGUAGGUAUGCACCAAAAGCAACAGAACCUGGAAACAAGAACAGGAGACCUUAACACCAGCAUUCUUGUUCGGUACACUAGACCAUCCGGAACAAAGUAACAUCCUUAUUGGUUGUGGCAAGUAAGUGCAGUGACCUCACUGUUGUGUUUUGUGAGUGUUGAUUCCAUUUCUAGCUUGUGGAAAAUGCUUUCAUUACAAAAGAGAGGUUGAAUCCAUCCUUUUUUAAUAUUCCCUAAGUUUCCAAAUGUAUGAUGUUUAAGAGAAUUUUUGAUGUUUUAAAGAUGUUUUCAUAUUUCUAUGUAAUUUUUAACUUUAUUAAAAACUGCUAACCUAAGAUAUUGUGUAGUCUGUUUUAUAAUUGGUUAAAUAAUGUUAAAACUUAUAUUUUCUGAUACUUUUUUAGUUAAAAGUAAUUUUCUUAAUUGCAUCAUACACUUGGGAACAAGAGGAAUAUAAGAUAUUUGGUGAGAUUGAUCUUAGAGCAUAUGAUUUUUCAUUUUUUUUUUCUUGUGUGCUGACUUUCUCCUUCCAGCAUAGUGCACUUAAGUGGUUUCCCACCUUCGGGUUAGCUUUUUGCUUUUUUCCAUCAACCAGCAUUUACUUGUCAUCUGAUACUGCUUACACGAACUUAUUAUUGUUUGUUAUACUUUGGACAAAUAUUCUUAGUUGAGCGCCGUUACUUUCUGAUAGUUUUUAUAUCGUUGUUUCUCUAUGGCCAGUCUAAGAACACUUGAUGCGGUUGUAAUCACUCAUUCUCAUGCUGAUGCAAUUGGAGGUCUCUGAAACUUGACAAGUUAAAACCUUGCCACCAUCCAUCUUUUUCCUUUAUCCUGUAAAAGCUGUGUUCUUGAAAGCCUUCUGCUUCAUUGUUUAUGUUUUCUUCUCUGCAGGUCCUGAUGAUCUCCGUGAUUGGACAAACAAUGUGCAGCCUCACAUUCCAAUUUACACUGCUACGCGUGAUUUUGAGGUUAAUUAACUUGUUUUACAAACACACGUUACCCUUAUUAACUCUCUCACGUAGUUAAGACUCUCUACCAUGACAUGUGGAUCUCAGGUGAUGAAAAAAACCCAUUACUACCUGGUUGAUACGAGUGUGCAUAGCACUCAACAUAUGUUACUCAUUGCUUCGAUUCUUUUUUUUUUUUUUUUUUUUUUUUUGUGUUAUAACUCGAAGAUUUUCAGCAAGCAAAAGUGCAAAACCCACUAGUUAUUAGAGUAUCAAAUAUAUUUUUAUCGUAGUUAGUUAAUACUUCUAUAAUAAUAACUAAACAUAAUUGAAAUGGUAGAGAAUCCCAAAAAUUUAUCUUGACCCAUAUAGUGAAAUCAAUUCUAGUUGUUCAAAUGUAAUUCCACUUCUUCUCUUCACUCCAGGAUGUUUUGUAUCAUCUUUUGCAUCCUUGAUUCUUGAUUUCACAAUGCGGGUCAUUAGUCAACAAAUGUAUGUUCUUUUUGUUGUUAUAAUAUGUUUUCACAUAAUUUAGAUUUUUAACAAAAACAAUAAAAAAAAGCCCAAAACGCCCAAUAAACAAAAAGCCCACAGAUUUAACAGAAACAAUAAAAAAACAAAUUAAUGGACUUGUUUAGCAAGCUCACUCUCGACUUGUUCAGCAAGCUCACUCCCGACUUCUCUUCUCCAGCAGCUUCUCUUCUCCAGCGUGAGGAAACAUGGGUCUAGCUUCACGAGUUCUACUCAAGAUCAAGAGACGUCGUAAGAGACCCACCACGCCCCAAAGUUUCUCGCAACUUGGGUUUAGGGUCGUUGAAAUGAAGUCAGAUGGGCACUGCCUCUUCAGGGCUAUGUCGCACCAGAUGUACAGGCAUCAGCGUGGGCACCUAUCCUACCGAAAGGAGAUUGUGCACCAUAUUGAGGUAGAUCUUGGAAAUUUCUAUAUAAAAUUCUAUAAACAUGAUAAUCAUUCAUGUUAUAUUGUCAUAUAUGCACACAUAAACAUCAGGAGUUCUUCGAGCCCUUUGUCAUUACCCGCAAUGCUCUUGACCAGAUCACCGAAACCUUUGAGCAGUGCUGUAAAAGGAUGAAGAAAGAACCCAUCUAUUGGGGAGGAGAGCCGGAGCUGGUAGCAGCAUCUCGUAUCUUGCACCGCAUCAUUCGAGUCUAUAAUGUAUGUGUCACUUCUCAUAAGAUUCUAUAAUGUAUGUCUAUAAUGAUUGCAACAUCUCGUGUCUUGCACCGCACCAUAAGAAUCUAUAAUGAUAGUAGCAUCUCGUGUCUUGCACCGCACCAUAAAUAAUGUAUGUCACUUCUCAUUAUAGACUUUUUUGUUAUGCUAUCAUUAUAGACUCUGACUCUUUAUAAUAAUAACUAAACAUAAUUGAAAUGGUAGAGUAAGAGUUUAUAAUGAUAGCAUAACAAAAGAAUCUAUAAUGAUAAGUGACAUACAUUAUGGUGCGGUGCAAGACACGAGAUACUGCUAUCAUUAUAGACUCUUAUGGUGCGGUACAAGACACGAGAUGUUGCUAUCAUUAUAGACAUACAUUAUAGAAUCUUAUGAGAAGUGACACAUACAUUAUAUACUCGAAUGGUGCGGUGCAAGAUACGAGAUGCUGCUACCAACUCCGGCUCUCCUCCCCAAGAGGUGGGUUCUUUCUUCAUCCUUUUACAGUACUGCUCAAAGGUUUCGGUGAUCUGGUCAAGAGCAUUGCGGGUAAUGACAAAGGGCUCGAAGAACUCCUGAUGUUUCUGUAUGCAUAUAUGACAAUAUAACAUGAAUGAUUAUCCAGUUGAUAAAAUUUUAUAUAGAAAUUUCCAAGAUCUACCUCAAUGUGGUGCACAAUCUCCUUUUGAUAGGAUAGGUGCCCACGCUGAUGCUUGUACAUCUGGUGCGACAGGGCUCUGAAGAGGCAGUGCCCAUCUGACUUCAUUUCAACGACCUUGAACCCAAGUUGCGAAAAACUUCGGGGUCUGGUGGGUCUCUUACGACGUCUCUUGAUCUUGAGUAGAACUCGUGAAUCUAGACCCAUGUUUCCUCACGCUGGAGAAGUCGGGAGUGAGCUUGCUGAACAAGUCGGGAGUGAGCUUGCUGAACAAGUCCAUUAAUUUGUUUUUUUAUUGUUUUUGUUAAAUCUGUGGAUUUUUUGUUUAUUGGGCGUUUUGGGCUCUUUUUUAUUGUUUUUUUUUAAAUCUAAAUUAUGUGAAAACAUAUUAUAAUAACAAAAAGAACAUACAUUUGUUGACUAAUGGUCCGUAUUGUGAAAUCAAGGAUGCAAAAGAUGAUACAAAACAUCGUCGAGUGAAGAUAAGAAGUGGAAUUACAUUUUAACAACUAGAAUUGAUUUCACUUUAUGGAUCAAGAUAAAUUUUUGGGAUUCUCAACCAUUUCAAUUUUUUUAGUUAUUAUUAUAGACGUAUUAACUAUAAUAUAUUUGAUACUCUAAUAACCAGUGGGUUUUGCACUUUUGCUUGCUGAAAAUCUUCCAAUUAUAACACACAAAAAAAUAGAAUCGAAGCAAUGAGUAACAUUUGUUGAGUGCUAUGCACAUUUCGUGGAUUUUCCACGACAAAAUGAGAUAGCAAGCAUGCUAUGCACAUUUCACAGUUUAUAAUCAUUUACUUUAUAUAUUAACCGUUGACAACAAAUGUUAAAUGGUGACGAAAUACGUUUGCUACGACUGUCUAGUCUGUACUACUACAACCACAGUGAACGCAUUAGGUUCGUAAGCUUGUUAGUGUCCACCCUCAGUCACAUCCCACUUUUGGUAGCCUUUAAACUCAAAAGCGAGAUCUUUAACAUAUGCGAAGAUAACUUGAACAUUAUUAGUCCAUUGAUAUAUCCAAUGGCAGAUAGCUCUUUUGUAAAAAAAUGGAAUGUCCAAGUUGUUAGUUUUGACUUUUGAUUGGUUAAUGUCAUUUUGAUUUUCAAAAAUUUAUAAGUGGACAGGCAUAUUCUUGAGAAUAUACCAGUUUCAUUCCCUUCCACCUUUCUUGCCUCUCCUACCUGCUUCAAUCAUUUCGAUCUUAAUUUUACUUGGUCACUAGUUUUGACCUGGUUAGUUUCUCUCAUUUGACGGCCAGUGCAAGCAAGAUCCCAUCAAAAGAAAACAUACAUUAGCAUCAUUCUUGUAAACCCUAUAGUACUUGAAUAUUAGGGGUUCGGGUUUCUAAUAAAAUGGCUUAUUUAGCAAACUUGCAUUAAUAUGAAGAAGAAGGAGCCAGGAAAAGUCUAACAUAAUGGGACAACAAGCAUCCAAACAACUAACCUCUUUUUGGGAGCUGAUGUGUGAUGCGCCGCGUGAUAUAUGCAACAAGUAGAAGUGAAAAAAAGAAGUGUACAAGAAGUAAUUCAAGUAUGUAUUAUAUCAUGGUCUAAUCAUGAUAUAUUCUUUCUGACACAUGUAAUUAUCAGUUGUUAUUUAAAAAUUAUGAUUAUUUCAAAUUAUUCAUAUGGGUUACAUAAUCCCGACGCUAGGUAUUCCUCAGAUUCAACAUAAACUAAUUCAAAAAAGUUGAAGUUUAAUCCCACCUGUUUGUCAAAUUUUCAACCACCAGUUCGAGCACUACGGUCUAAUGAUAAAUUCUAUGUAUAUUUAUCAAAAACUUUUUACGGACGUCAAUUAAAAUAAAUCAAUCAUAAUGAUAAAAUGAAUGACCAUAUAACAAUAUUACUUUAAUUUGAGUUUCAUUAAUUUGCUAGUACCUGAUAAUAAAUCUUCUAAGUUUUAUACCAGGUUAAAGAAAUAUGAGGUUUAUAUCCUUCAACCAAGUGUAUAUGUUUGUUUAUAAAACUUGGUAGGAAUGAAUCAUGAAGUUUAUUUUCAGUUCCACAGCCCAUUUCAAAAUGUUUUCAAGCUUCUAAUGGUAUUUUUGUCUCAUUUUCCGCCAAUCUAAAAAAUGAAAAGUUGGUCCUUCUACCAAAUAUGCUGUCCAAAAAAACUUGGUAGGAAUCAUGAAGGUUUAUUCUCACUUAAACAUUCCUUCUCAUUUUUCUUAAAAAAAUGCUUCUAGUGACAGUUUGUCUCACUUUCUCUAAAUUUCGUUUGGUCUUAAACUCGAUUACCUAUGAUUAAUUUAGGGUAAUAUGCCGAUUAUAAUUCCAUUUAAAUAAAGAAAAGCACAUGAUAAAAAAUAUAGCUACAAAGAGUAGGAAAAUGUUAUAGAAUUGAUUAACUAACUAAUGAUGGUAUAAACACGAAAACGAUCUAAGCGGCAGAAAGUGCACACUUCUCUCGGGUUCUUUUGUUUAACUUGCAAUAGUUAUAAUUAUUUAAUUACUGUGGAAUAUACUUUUAAGUCAGGAUCUUAUAUCCAGCAGCAAUACUUAAAUCCUAAGAUAUUAUAUGUUUAAAGCAGGAAAGAUAGUGAAAUAGCAGAAGAAAAAAUGUUCUCAAGAAUCUGGAAGCUCGACCUCGUCUCUUUUUUUCUUUAGAAAUUAAAACAACCUUCAUUGAAUUUUAAACUUUUAAACAUUUGAAUAGAGGGAGAGUUAUUCAGAACUCUACGAGCAUUAAACAUUGAAACAUAAAAAAUAAGAAUACAGAAAAUUCUAAAAUAAGGUGACAGCAAAUUCAGAGCAAGACUUGAAUGCAUCGAAACAAGGUUUAUGGCAAAACCACGGACUUGAGAAAUAGUCAUUUUGGGUUGUGAUGUUCAUACUAAAUCGGCACCUCAAAAAAUCGUCAAGACGAGAUCCAUUGCAUAUUGAAAUUCUUUCUUUGACUGUUAUGAAGCUGUUGCUUAGAUAUGUUUAUAAUCAAAAGAUUGAGAAUGGUAAUUUUACCAUAGGUUAUACUAUUCAAUUAGAAAAUUCAAAAACCAAAGAAUAUAUUCUAAGUCAAGCUUCUAAUUUAAGAAAUGCUAAUGGUGAAUUUCAACCAAGUUUAGGUUUAUACACAACAUUGGUGAAUUUGAUGCUGAUUCAAGCUGAAAAAUAUGAAGAUUUAGAUAUCUAUGUCGAGAGCUGUUUAUAAUAGAUUGCCCAGUAACAUAUACAAACUCAGAAGGGGAUGUUGAGUUAUAAUCAUUGUCUUUGCCAGCUAUGUGGGAACACUUGAAUCACUCAAUCAUCUACUAUUCCAAUGGAUAGUUGCAAAAGAAGUAUGUACACUGGCACCACUCGGAAACCAACCAAGUUGGCUGGCUGAUUACUCUCAACCUUUGCAGCAAUAUUUGAGCUGGUUGCUAUCAGUAACUUCCUCCUCACCAUUAAUUGAUGACUUGGCCCUUCUUUACUGAAUGGCAAAUUUGGAAAAUAAGGAGCUUAAUCCUCCCAAAUCAUUGAGAAUUCAUCUCGCAAGUGAUUGAUAUUAUCAAUCAAAAACUUGGGAUUGAUAUAAAGCCAAAACAUGGGAGGAGUGACAUCAAAUUCAAGAUACAAAUAUAAACGGUAAUGCAAACAACUACGACUGUAUAUAUUGUAGAUGCAUCGUGGUCUUCAUCAAAAAGACUGAGCAGGCAUAGGAUGUGCACUAUAUCGGAAAGACUACAAGUCAUUAAAGCAAGUACAUAUAUUGAUCCGAUUGUUGGAAGCCCUACUUAUCAUAACCGUCAAAGAAGUACAUAAAUUGUUUUUUUGAUGAAGUUAUGUUCGUUGGUGAUUUGGUCCUCUUCAAUUAGCUUAAUAAUGCCUUUCUAGAAGUAAAAAAAUGGGAUUUGGUUGGACCACUCGGCUACUACAAUCACCAUUUCCAGGACACAAUUUAAGGCAGUAUAUCCCUCUAAGCCUUCUUGUUUUUAGAUAAACAGGUUUUGCGAAUUAUUGUUUCUGAAGUUACUUUCUUACUACAAUGGCAAAAAGUAUAUUGUAUCUUAGAAUACUUUGUAUCUUAGAAGUUAGAACUGAUCCUGAGUGUAAAUUGUUUCAUAAUACAAUAUGCAGCUAGCCGACAAAGAAAAAAGUAGUAUGCAACGAUGAAACAAAGAAAAAGCAAUCAUCCACUCGAACUGUAUUACUAAAUCUAGCCUAAUAACACAACAAGUUAAUCAGAGUUAAACACAUGAACAAUGAUUCAUACCAUAUACUAACAAAAAAAAUCAGAAUUUUUUUCAAAGCUACCAACUUUUUUUGUUUUUGUUUUUAAAACACAAAAUACAUAGAACAUUUACAUCUUGGAUUUAGAAAAUGAUAUGAAUACAGUGAACAAUCGGUAUGCAGAAUUCGAGAAGUUGGAACACACAAGUGUUAGGUGUCUCUGUUGAUAGUGUGGUAAGUAAAACUCUACAAGUUUACAACUAUUCUUAUCUUGUUUGCAAAAUUGCUUUGACUCAUCCCUACUUGUUGUGUUGAUGUCCGUCCACAUAGUUCUCCCACCUUGCGUGGGUUCAAACAGACAGAAAAUCUGGAGGACUUGGUGAUCUCAACUACCCCCUUGUAUCAGAUGUCACUAAAUCAAUCUCAAAAUCUUUUGGAGUGCUCAUCCCUGACCAGGUAAAAACUUUUAUUGUUUUAACUUCCCUAAAUCUGUUUGGGAAUCAACAAAGAUACAUACCUUUUGUGUGUAAGAAAAAGAGGGAAUAGCGUUGAGAGGGCUUUUCAUAAUAGACAAGGAAGGAGUGAUCCAACAUUCAACCAUCAACAAUCUUGGUAUUGGCCGAAGUGUUGAUGAGACAAUGAGAACCCUUCAGGUAUAAUAAAUACUCUCAAGUUCAAAACCUGUUCUUUUUUUAUAUUUGAUUACUGUUUGUGUGAUGCAUAUUAUAUUCUCGAUGUUGCAGGCAUUACAGUACAUCCAGGAGAACCCUGAUGAAGUCUGCCCUGCAGGAUGGAAACCAGGGGAGAAGUCAAUGAAACCUGACCCCAAGCUCAGCAAAGAGUAUUUCUCAGCUAUUUAGAAAUAUCUACAAACCCUUUGUUAUAUGUGAGCUGAGUGUCCUUUUUUUCUAAAGUGCUUUGAACAUUUCCAUUAAUAAAGUCUUGUUAUCUCCAUCUUCCCGCUUGGAGUAGGAUUCAAUGUGGUUUCUUUCUCUUCUUAACAUGUUUUUACCAAUCAAAAAUGUUUAAAAUUUAUAAAUCAAUUUUUCAUGUCAAACCGAUGACGUGUUGGUCUCUUAAACACACAAAAAUUAUCAAAUAUAUAAUUAAUAAGAUAUUUAAAAUACAUAAAAUUUUAAAAGUUGGAAAUAAUCUAAAAUUUCAAAAAAAAAAUUAAUAUUAUAAACUUAAAAAUAAAUAAAUUCAAAAGUAAUAAAAUAUUUAAAAUAAAUUAAAAUGAGAAAAUAUUGCAAAAUUCAAAAACUUAUUUGAAAAAAAAAACACCAUAUUUUUCUUCACUCAUUCUUUUUCUUUUUGGUGCUUUAUUUUAGAUUGUAGGUAAAUCUCCACUUGUUUUUUUUUAAGGGUAUAUCUCCACUUGGAUGAUAACAUUAUCAUCAUCAUCAUUAUAGAAUUACUAACAGGAAUUGCUGGCGCCAUGGCAACUGGCAAAAAAAAAAUGGAUCUCGGUUGGAUAUAAAUAUUCGAGUAAUAAUCAAAGGUAUGACCUUUGUAGCAUAAACAAAAUAAAUAUGAAAGGUAUUUGGUACGAGGGGAGAUAAUAAAACGUGUGUUGGAGAAUGGAGAUGAAUUGGCUUAUGUCUGUCUUGUGAGAUAUUAAUAUUAAGAUUAGAGUCUAAUAAGCUCGUGUUAUACUAAUUCAUGGACUAUUGGAGAAAAAUCACGAUCAAAAACAAUAAACCAAUUCCAAAAAAAGUCUUACAAAGGUUUUUGAUAAUAACUAGUUUCGUUUGUAAGGAUAUGGUUGUUCGUACAUGGCGAUUAAGAGUUAUCUGAGAACAGCUUGUUCCAUAAUAGCAAUUCGACCGGCAAAAGAGAUGAAACUGAGCUCUAUCCACCUUAGUUCUCUGCUUGCAAAGAAGCUGCAAGAAAAAAUACACUGAAAUUGCGAUCCAAUGGAAAAAUAACCAUAGCUUUUUGUUACUAUAUUAUCAGUUAGAUCUAGGUACCUUUAACGGAUGCUGGGUCGUCUUGUGGCCUCAUUGCCGGGAAGAGAAUAACCUCCUGCAACAUUUUAUCAGUUCAGUUCAUGAGUUUAGCCUGAAAGAUUUAAUAAUCAUUAGCAGAGAAUUGAGAUAAAGAGACUGACCUUGAUGUUUUGUGAGUCAGUGAACAGCAUGGCAAGCCUAUCUAUCCCCAAUCCCCAACCACCUGUUGGAGCCAAUCCGUAUUCUAAAGCAUUGCAGAAAGUCUCAUCUAAGGCCAUCGCUUCAUCGUCUCCCGACUGUCUAUCCUUGAGUUGAUCAGCAAACCUUUGACGCUGAACCACAGGAUCGUUCAGCUCGGUGUAGGCGUUGCAAAGCUGUGGUCAAGUUUAUAAUAUGUUAGUAAAACAAAGUAUUAAGAAAAGAUGCGUGAUGUGAUGGAAUCAGAUUGGUAAUUAGCUUUUACUUCAUGUUUGUUGAUGAACAGCUCGAAUCUCUCAGUCAGAACACUGUUUGAUCUAUGCCAUUUCGCCAAGGGAGACAUGAUCUCGGGAUGGUUGAUGAUGAACGUUGGGUUGACACAUGUCACUUCCAGAAAUUCUCCAACAAGCUGCAAAAGAGAACAUCUCAGAUUUCAAUUUCAUAUUCACAGACAUAAAAGAGGGAAACUGAAGAUUCCCUUACUUUAUCUAGUAGACGAGCUGUAGUCUGAGGAGGCGGGCAUUUCACGUCGAACCUGGCACAAGCAUCAAUCAGAUACUUGUUGGCUUCUUUGCUAGCCAAGUCUUUUGGAAUAUUGAGGUUCGCCACCUUCUCUAACUCUCCUAUCAUCUCAAUCCUCCUAUACAAACAAAAAUUAGGGAGACCAUUAACACAUACAACUUCAUUACUGGUUGUUAUUUAAUAAAUGAGGCUGUUGAUUGACUAUCAAACCUGAAUGGAGGAGUGAAGUCAAUUUCGAUUGGCUCCUUAUCAUACCCAUUAGCAUGAUACUUGAUUUUGUAACCACCUGUUAACUCUUUCACCAUGCCACUCAACAUAUCCUCAGUCAUUUUCAUCAGGUCAUUGUAGUCGGCGAAAGCCAUAUAGAACUCGCAAGUGGUGAACUCCGGGUUGUGUGUCAGGUCAAUACCCUCGUUUCUGAAUUGCUUCCCAAUCUCAUAGACACGUUCUAAGCCACCUACAAUAAGCUGCUUGAGAAAGAGUUCAGGUGCGAUACGCAUGUACAGCUUCAUGUCUAGAUCAUUGUGAUGUGUCACAAAGGGUCGCGCAGCUGCUCCACCAGCAAUCAUGUUCAUCAUAGGUGUCUCAACCUCCAAGAAUCUUUGAUUGUCAAGGAAUCUCCGGACGUAGGAGAUGAUAUUGGCUCUGGUUUUGAAUAUCUGGCGAACCUCCACGUUCAACAUUAGAUCAAGGUAACGCUGGCGAUAUCGAGAUUCCUGCCAGGGAAACAAAAAGAGUAACAUCAAACGCUUGCUCGGAUAGCAACAGAAUCCAAAACACAACCAGAAAGUGAUCAAACAAAAGAUAGAGGCUACAACAAUCUUUAUAGCUUUUGAAAUUUUACCUGAUCUUUCAGAACAUAUGCUUCAGGAUUCCUCGGUUCACCAGGAACCCAGUUUUCAGGUUUCUACGUAAAGAAAAUAGUGAAACAGAUCAGUGUCAAUUCAAAUAAGUUGACUCUAAGGUAAUGUAACAGCCACAGUGGAUUUGCUUUACCUUUGCGCCAACACUGUCAGCCUUUCUUGGCAUCAUGUGGAGGCAAUGCGACAGAAGAAUAAACGAUCGGGGAAAAAUACUCAACUCUCCUCUCUUAGUUUUUCCUGAAAUUAAAAGUAACUUGAACAAUGAAACAAGACAACAAAAAUAGGCUAAAAGAAUGAAUAAUAAAAAAACAUAGAGAGGCUGCACAAACCUGGAAACCCAGUAACACCAACAAUAUCACCACGCUUAGCAUUCGCAUGGAGCUUUGAAAACUCAGCUUCAUCCAACCCUGACUUACUAAAACAAGAAGAAAAAAAAAAAAGCAACACACCUAAGUAAAAAUCUAGUCCACAGCAUCAAGCCAUCAAAGUUAACAAAGAAGAAGCAUUCACCUUGCAUCAGCCAUGACCUGGACCUUGAAAUCCUCACCGUGAAGAUCAUAGAAGAAGAGCUUGGAAGAGGAAGCUCGCUUGCUCAUUAUCCUCCCUAGCAAAAAUCAAAUGAACAUCCCUUUCCACUCUUAAGAACAAAAUGGCAUUUAGCAGUUUGAACAUACCAGCUAGAGAAACUUCAGCGUCUUCAACAUGAUCCCCAUUGUUCAAACCACCAUACUUCUCAAUGUACUCAGGGAUAGACAUCGACACAGCAAACUUGUGAGGGUACGGAUUCUCCCCCUUAGCCUUCUCCGCCGCGAGAUACUUCAAUCUGUUCUCAAAGUAUUGCUGCGAAAGAUAACACAAGUAAGCUGCAUUGCAUAAGACAAACGAGAUCAUAGUAUUGAAUUGAAAUGUAUACCGUUGGAUCCAUAUCCUCAUCAUCUGCUGAUGCCACUGACUUCUGGGAGCUUGCCUUUGGAGCCUGAAUCAAUCAAAAUCAAAAUCAAAUUAUCUUUAACUAAUCAACCUGAUAACCUGAAUGCACAGUGUUUGCUCUUACUUGUUUGGCUUUUUGUUUCCUCUCUUCCUCUCUCUGCUUCAUCUUCAGUUCCUUCUUCAGAGCACUGCAAACAACAUCCGCUACAAUCAGAUUCCAUUCACAAAUAUGAUCGAGAGACCAAUAAAACGUACUUUUUACUCCGAGCUCCAUCGCCAGUCGAAGAGGGAGCAGGAUCCAUGGAUAGUUUGGAUAUUUCUUGCGUUGUUUGAUCAACUGAGCCUUCCAUGGAAAUCGAAUUAUUGGUACACGAAUCCAGAAGAAGAAGACGGCGAAGAUGAGGAAUGAGUCUUCUUUAGGGUUUAUUAUUAUUAUUAUUAUUAUUACUCCUCGUGAUUUUUACGCGGGUUAUUCAUUAAGGUUUCUUGAUUCUUUCCGGUUUAUGAACAAACCGAACCGGUUCGUUUAAAAAGUAACGAUUUUGAGUGCAUGUUUAUUGAUUAAUGACUUGAUUAUGUUGCAUUACAUAAUUAAUACAAAAACCCUAGUGUUAUUAUAUCACAGAUGUUUAAAAUUGACAAAUCAAAUGCAGUAUCAAAGAUUAAUCUUCUUCUAUGAAAUAAUUCUUUAAGAAGAACAUCAAUAAUACCCUAAAAGUGGAUUUUUUACAGAAUUAGUAUUUUAAAAAUAAUCAUAAAAUAUUAAAUAAGUUUCUCAAAUUAGUAUUUUGAGAAACUAACUUAAUAUUAUAAUGUAGUCUUAUUAUGUUAGCUAUUUAGAUAUUCAUUUAUUUAUAUCAAUAAUGAUGCUCUAAACUAAACAGACCUUGUGUUUCAAAAAAAAAAAAAAAAGAACUAAACAGACCUCAUUUUUAUACAUAAACAGCUUUACAGCAUUGUUUCUUUUAUUAACGUUACAUCACUAUAUUUGUUGACAACACUUGUUGCUAAUCUCACACUAUAACAUGUAAGUUGAAACGACUGAUGUUUCCUUAUAUUGAUAGUAGUUUGCUUUAAACUCUUUGCAACUUGAAAGACACUAAACCUCUGGCUUGGCUUUACUCCCUAGUGGCUAUUUCAAGUCCUUCUCAUCCAUGACCUGAUUCCGAAGCAGCCUGGUCUACGUUUUCUCUGCAGAAUCGAGCUCCUACCUCCACUUAAACCGUUUGGUUUGUCGUCACUAUUCUCUUCUGUUUUGCUAAAAAUAGUUGUGGCUUGUGAGAUUGUUAUCCUUGUCACCUCUUCAGAGUUUGUUGUACGAUCGAUCUUGCUAGAUCCAGCAAAAGAACUUGAUCCACUUCGCCUAUAUAUUAACAACUCUAAAAAGAUUAAAAACCAUUUAAUAUUAUGGAAACCACUUCUUGAGAUUCUUUAGUAUUUACCUAUUGUUGUUGUUUUGGUUGUGAUAAUGCGCGAGGGAUGCUUCAUCAAGAACUUCAUUUUUCGGAUCUUGACUACAAACUUUGCUGCUUGAAACAGCCGCGUUGCUCUCUGAAUGCUGUUUUGGUGAUGAUGAUGAUGAUGACGACGCUUCUUCUUCCUCUGAAGAGGAUGAGGUAUUAUCAUCUUUUCUAGAUUUUCUAACCAUUGAUAUCACUCUCUCUAGUGUCCCUAGUGCUUGCUUCACCUCUGGACUUAGGCAGAAAAGUGUUUCACCAUCGUUGUUCCGAGACUUCCCAUUGACAUUUUCAUCCUCUUCCGAGAAAGAAGAAACACUUUUAUCUUCUUCUUCUUCCUCAAUCUCAUGAACAUUUCCUUUGAAAGGUACACGUUCACUUGCUUGAACAUUUUCAUCAGUGUUAUCAGUAGGAGGAUACAGAGCUUUACGUACAAGAGUGUACAAUGGACCAUCUAAAACUUUGGCGUAAUCUUCUGAUUUAACCAUCGAACCUAUAGUCUGUGUACACAUUCAAGUAGACAAACCACAUCACACAACUUAGCAACCUGAGAAACCAAGAUUUAAUGAACUAAAGAAGCUGGAAAGUACCUCCUUGAAAAGUUUGAAACCGUUGCCUAGGAGCUGCCUAGACAUAAAGUUGAUCAGAGAUGGAGGAAUCAAGUCCAGCUUUAUAUCGAACUCCACUAUGUAUCUACAAAAGUUCCACAGUUUAUAAGAAGACCAAAGAACAUUUCAAGUUUAUACUAUAAACAAUUUAAUAUGGUUUUAAUAAUAUUUUUUUUAAACAAGUUUGGGAGCUUUUGUUAUGUAAAUUAUUUUAUAAAUUUUGGGGGCUAUAGGCCUAUGAUUCAGCUCAUGACCGUCCCUGCACUCACCUCAGGUAACUCCUCACAGGAGACACUUUUUGUAUAGCGACUCCACCUACUAAAUCAAUCCUCACAGCAUUCUCUGCUUCUUCAGAUAUACCAAUGCUCUCUACUUGUGAUGCUGAGAUCUAAAAGAUGAUACCAACAUAGUUUAGUUUAGGAUAAUGUAAAAGCAUAAAGAAACAAUUAAAGAAUCUAACAUGGCUUUACCGAGUUGAGUAGGAUGAUGACUAAACCAUCUUUGAAGUAUUCAAAUAAGAAAAACUGCACAAUAGCUUCUCUGUUUGUCAUUGGCCACGGUAAUUUCACCCUUUCUUCCCAAAAAAGUAAUUAUCAUCAAAAUGUUCAGAUUAGCUUCAAAGAAAAUAGAAAGAAACUGACCUCACUAAACAUAUCUGUUCAUUGAUCCGAAACUUUUGCAAACAUCCAGUUUGUAAGAUCCUGAAUGCUGGAAAUACAGAGUUUGGCCACCUUAAAAACAUAGAAACCAUUAAUUUCUAUUCUAUUUAGGCCAUAUUGAGUGUUCUCACUGAGUUUUUUUAUAGAGAAAAAAACCGUACAUUAAUUGUUAUGCAAUAUCAAGAUGUUUGAAACCCAAAAUAUGCAUAAACAAAAACUCUCUUACCAUUUCUCAUAGAGUGAUGAUUCCCAAGAUACACAUAGACCUGCAUAAACGCACUUAGAACGAAACUGAAAACCUUUUUCUUCUAUCAGUCUUAAGAAAACUUACAGUCCUGGAUGGGCCCAUCCAUGUAACCUUCAACGAGCAACGUGUGAAACGGACUUCCAUCAAAUCCUUCACGGUACAUAACACGACAAUCUUCAUGAUCAUGUUUCACCUGCAAAACAAGAACCAAAGAAAAAAAAAAUAGUUUGCUAACAUGAUGACAAUUCUGUUUCCAAAGUUAGCGAAGCAUGCAAUGAAAACAUACUUUCCAAUCACCACAAGAUGCUUCUUUGGUUGGGUUAGACAAAUCUUGAUCCUUUGCUGAAACACUCCUAAGCUUCUCAAGUAUACUAGAUAAGCCAGCAACUCGUUGAUCCAAUACAUCCACACUACACUCUGUGAUCAAACAUAUGAAAAAGAAACAUUAUAACAAAAUGCCAAAAUAAAAGAGAGUUUCCGCAUAUAGCAGAUCAGAAACAAGGAAAACCUUCUUCAUUUAGCUGGUUUCUGAUAAGGGUUUUAAGAGUUUGCUCAUUUGUAAGCGCAGGAGACGCCAAGGUUUUGUCAAGUCUCUCCCUGUACUCACAAAUCUCUCGUUUUUUCUCCAUACACACCUUUGGAAAAUAAAUGAAUUCUCAAAUCAAAAGCAAAGAUGGCCAGAUUACGGAGCUUUGUAGGGAAGAAGAACCUUAAACGGAAGGCAGUUACAAGGAAGCUAAAACUUUUGAGCUUUGCCAGAAAGAAAAAAAAAAAUCAGCUAGCUGCCAAUAUGAUAUGAGUAAGCGUAACCUACGAGAUGGGCAAAGAACGUGGAGGUGUUUUCUCAAUAAGUAGUAAAUACUCUCUCAUUUUCUCGGGAAGAUACCAAAAAAGAUCUGGGAAAGAAGAAAAAGGAGAAUGUCUCAUUUCCCAAAACGCAUACAGUUUGCAUGGACAUUCCAAACUGAUUGAACUUUUUUUGUUAGUCUUGUAAGGACGAGGUCGGUUAAGUGUCGCUAUCACUUGAAUUAUGUAUGAAACCAUGAACCAUCAUCUUCUGUUUAAAAAAAAAAAAAUCAAAAGAAAAAUACAAUUUGAAAUGAGAAAUAUUCUUAUCUGACGCUUGAUUUUUUAAAUUUUUUAAAUUUAUUUAGUUAAAAUUGAAGAACAUAUUUAUAUUUUUCUCUAGGGCUCUACUUAUUAUGCAUGCAUUUUUUAAAAGAAAAAUGAUAUCAUAAAGCUUUAACACAAACGAUAAGAUUACUUAGAUAUUUCACUACAAAUUAAAUAAUAAUGUGCAUGAAUGAAAUUUUAUUUCGAAGUUUUGUGUAAAUGCAUGAAUCUAAGUUUGAAUCGAUUUUAUAAACAGAGCAAUAAUGAUGAAAUUGAUUGCUUUUAGAACAUAUACAUAAAAAAAUGUGUGUAAUUUUGAUGCAUUUGGUGGUGUCUUCUGAAACCAUGUGGGUAAAUGAUGAGUUUAACUGAUAUACUGUAGAAACAGUUUGUAAGAAAGUUGAGUUUGGCUCGAAUCUCUAAAGUAUCAAUCAUGUUCCAUCUUCAUUAUCUUUCGCGUUCUCAUUCUAUGGAUGUAGCUGCAGCUUUUCAAAAUCCUAUCCUAUUGUAGUGAACAUGAUCAGCCUAAAAUCAUGUGUUCCAAACUCGAAUUAUAUAAUCAUAAUAGAAGUUAUACUAUACUAGAGACAAGGACAUUGCAACUACCACCAUAGAUUGAACAUAGAGUGACAUGGUAUCAAAGUUUCCAGCGUUACUGUUUUAGACAGCCAUUAGUUUUCACAGCACAUAGUAAGAAAAAAAAAAGUCUCACAUAGUUUUGAUAACACUUUGCUUAACUACUGACCGCAGCAACCGCCACCAUUGUUCUGUUGGAUUGGCUGACCUUUCAUUUGGACAGUUCCACUUCCAGAUGUCUUGUUUGCAUUCGUCUGGCUUCCCAUUCUGAAACAGUAAUGAUGACAUAUGGUCAGAUUCAAUAAAACAAAAUUAAACAAGUAGAUCUCUAUACAAUAAGAUCAAACACAUGAAAAAAAUCUAUCAUAUAAUAUGAUAACAGAAGGAAGAGGCAACAAGAGAACAUUAACGCAGGAACUUUGUAGAUUUUCUCUCCAUCAGUCAUCAAGACUCCAAAAACUUAUAUCCGAUUUAACAUUUUAAAUGAAUGGUUCAUUUCAUGAAUUGCAGCAGAAUAACCCAGAGAAUGCUUUGGUGUAUAAUGGCGAUGAAGGAGAAUAGUUUAGACCAACUUCAAUAGUGAAUAAUUAUAUAAAGUUAACAUAUUGCAGAAACUAUGAAGAAAGCUAAAAGAUAGUGAACAUACUUCUUCUUGAUCUCGCCAGCAAUAGUUAAGAAUGCCUGUUCGACGUUGAUAGAAUCCUUAGCACUUGUCUCGAGAAAGGGUAUUCCGAGCUCAUCGGCUAAGGCCUGUAGUGAUUUUUGAAUAGAUGAAACGUAAGAUAAGCAAGUGAGAGCUGUGUUAAGAGGAGAAACGGCUACUGAACAUAAGCAAAAUUUAAUCUCUGAAAUCAGAUUAUCAACUUUGGACUUUGGUCAGCGAUCAUAUAUAAAUAUAGUCGUAGCACCUAAUAUUGUGGUAUAACAAUAUCAAUGAUCUUACUAUCAACACACGUUUAAAGAUUUGUGCUACAAUGAUAUGAUUAAAUGAAAAAAAAAAGGGUAAAUAAUGCUUGCAACUCAUCUAGAUCCACAAUCAUAACUGGAAACUACUAGUUGUAGAUGCGAGCUAACCUUUCCAGUUUCGGUGGAAACAACUUUACUUUCAACCAUAUCAUUCUUGUUACCAAUAAGAAGCUUGCAAACACUGUCAUUAGCAUAUCUGUCAAUCUCACUCAACCACUGCUUCACAUUGUUGAAACUCUCCAUCUCGGUACAGUCAUACACAAUCUGUUGCAAUCUCAUCAGUUUAAACAAUGAAGAUUAAAAUAGUCUUCCAGGAUUCUAUUUUCCACUAACAAACAUGUUUCAGAGUAAAGAGAACUGAGAAAAGAUGAUCAAUGAUUCAAAUUGCCACCAGGUUAUACACUAAACCACUAAAAGAAACGGAACUCAACAAAACACUAAUCUAGUCAAACAAAAAGUAUGCAAGUAAGAAAGCGGAUAAGAGUACUACUCACAAUGAUUCCAUGAGCUCCUCUGUAGUAGCUGCUAGUGAUGGUCCUGAAACGCUCCUGCCCAGCAGUAUCCCACUGAAGAGAACCAUCAACAGUAGUAACACAUGAUUAUCCUAAAACAUGUUAUAUACAAAUGAUCUAACUGAAGAGAACAUCAACAGUGCAUGAUUUUAACAUAUAUAAUCAUUCGAAACAAGUUACAAAAAUGCCCUUUAAACUCACGAUUUGAAGCUUAAUCGUCUUCCCAUCCUGCUCAAUCGUCCUAAUUUUCUGCAAUUCGAACCACAUUAUAAGCAACUUUGUGACUAACAAUCAAAUCACAUAUAUAUAGUAUAUGAUCGUUUAAGAUUAUGAAAGGAACUGACGAAGUCAACACCAAUGGUACUUAUGUAACUGUCGAUGUACGCAUCAUCCUGCACACAAAAUCAAAUCUAAAAAUCAGCGAAUCUCGUUUCGAAAGAGAAUCGAAUCAAAAAAUCAAGUCCAACUCACAGCGAAUCGAAGAAGCAGGCAUGAUUUUCCUACGGAUGAGUCGCCGAUCAACAGAAGCUUGAACAGAUAAUCGCUACAAAAAAAAACGCACAGAUAAAGACGAUUGAGCUGUAUAAUUGGGGAAUGCGAUAGAGAGGAGAACACUUACUACUCGUUGCUCAUGGUUUCUCGAGCUCUUCGUGAGUUUUUUCCGAUUGAUUCGUGAAUUUUUCCCAGGAAAAAAGAAGUUUUCUAAGAAAAAAAUAAAAGGAGGUUACGGUUAGGCGUGUCGAUUAAAGUGCUGUGAAACAUUGAUUGAACCCCACGACUUCAAUGUUGAUUUUCUUCUACAGUUUUAAAUUAUUUUCCUUUACUUGUCUCGUGACAAAUAAACAAGCUUUUGACCUUGUUGAAAGUACUUUUAGAAUUGUCUUCUGGGCCUUUUAAUAGAUAGUGGGCCGGGCUCAAAUCUUGGAGUUCGACCAAGCUAUCUAGUGUUCCUUCCGGAUUAUUUUUUGUUUGGAGGUCGACGUCAACUUACAUUAUCCAACAUUCGGUUUCACUUUCAUCUCCACAUUCAUCGGGUUGGACCACGAUUACACAACCUAGAGUCUAUGUAGUAUCAUCCAAAAGUAUUUGAAGGCUUCAUAUCGACCUGAAGUUUAUUCAAAACAAAGGUUCCAAACGGUAACAUAAGGAAUUAAGGGAAAAUUAUAAUUUUUUAUUCAUUUUUUUUUAACAUUUACACGAUAUAUGAGAAAUUUUUGUUACAUAUAAUUUUAGGUCAUUCCUUAAAUUACGAAGAACUAUUAAACAAGAUAGAGAAAUUUUAUAUGAUAGCCAUUUUUUAGUUUUUGUUACAAAAAUAGCAUUUAAAAAGGAAAAUAACCAAAAUAAGUUAUUUUAAAGGGUAAAUAUAUAUUUAUACCCUAUGAUUAACUAAUCUAGAUUUAUGGUUUAGAGUCAAGGGUGGGGUUUUGAGUAUAUGGUUUUAAAUUUUAAAAAAUUAAAAAUUAAAAUUAAAAUUUUCAAAAUUAACAGAUAUCGCUAGAUAUGGUCCUCUUCAGGUGUUCUCCCUAUCUGGUAUCUUGGGCUGCCACUGAUGAGCCGCAAGCUUAAGAUUGCUGAGUACGCGUCUUUGAUGAACAAGAUAACUCUCAGCUUUCAAUCUUGAUUAGUUAAGCUCCUCUCCUUCGCCGGAAGACUGGAGCUACCGAAAACAGUUAUAUUUGGGAUUGUUAAUUUUUGGCCUCUGCUUUCAUGCUGCCUAAGGGCUGCAUCAAGCACAUCGAGACGUUAUGCUCCCGCUUUCUAUGGUCCGGAAACAUUAAGAAGCGUGGAUUAGCAAAAAUUUCUUGGACAACAGUUUGCUUACCCAAAACAGAGGGCGGCUUGGGCAUUCGCAGCCUCUUGGAGUGGAACAAAGUGUUGUGCUUAAAGUUCAUCUGGAUCCUGCUGUCAAAAACUCCUUCGCUUUGGUCUGAUUGGCACUGGAACAAGCACCUGCAGGAAAGAUUUUUUUGGACCAUCGAGCCGUCAGCUACCGACUCUUGGGCUUGGAAAAGACUACUGAAGCUCGGCGAUCUGGCUCUUCAGUUUUGCAAAGUGUCAUUGGGUAACGGGAAGGAUGCAAGCUUUUGGUUCGAUGCUUGGUCUCCUCUUGGUCAGCUUAUAACGUACAUAGAAGCGCAAGGUCCUAGAGCCCUACGGUUGAGACGGGACGCUGUAGUAGCUGAUGCGAUCCAAGACUCAGCUUGGGUUCUCCCUCAUCCAAGAUCACAGCAGGAAGUUGACCUUCACUCUUAUCUUACGACUAUUUUCCUGCCUUUUUCCCUUGAUAUUGAUGAUAGGUAUGAAUGGAUUGCUGGUGACUUUCCUUCACGUGAUUUCAGGUCCUCAACGACAUGGGAGACUUUAAGGCCAAGACAAGAGGAAGUGGACUGGCACGAUCUUGUAUGGUUCAAGGGAGCGAUACCCAAACACUCUUUCACGAUGUGGGUGGCCAACUAUGACAGGUUGCCUACAAGGAACAGGCUAGCGGCUUGGGGAAUGGCCAUUGAUACGGACUGCCUCUUUUGUUCGAGAAGCAUAGAAACCAGAGACCAUAUGUUCCUUCGUUGCGAGUACAGCCUUGAUUUUUGGAGAGAGGUCUUCGCCAGAUGCCAUCCUUCAUUGUCAAGCUUUACGGACUGGUCAGAACUGCUAUCAUGGAUACGAGCUGAUGUGCCUGUGAAGCUGAAGCUCAUGCGGAAGCUUGCUACUCAAAUGGUCAUCUUUCAUCUUUGGAAACAAAGAAACAAUUUGAUCCACAACCAAAUCUCACUCCCUGCUGCAUCAGUGUUCUAUUUUGUUGAUAAGGAGAUGAGAAACAUUAUUUCAGCAAAGGAAGCAUAGGAAGCAAUUCCGAUCGCUCAUGGCUUGCUGGCUGAAAUGAUCAUGUCAGUGUUAAUGUUUAGUCAAAUGAUGAUCCAUCUUGUUUUUUUUUUUUUUUUGCAAAGAUGGUUCAAACUUAAGAUCUUGCUCUUGUAAAAUCUUCUUUUCAUUCUAAUGAUAUUUACAAUUUAGCAAAAAGAAAAAUAAAAUAAUUUUUUUUAAAAAAAAAACUAUUUUGGUUAUUUUUUCUUUGAGGAAUAUUUUUGUGACAAAAACUUAAAAAUGAUUAUCCGAGAAAAUUACACUAAAACAUAAACAUUUUUUUAUCUUCAUCACUGGUUUAAUCUCUUUUCAUCAGAAGAAUUGUUCUUCAACAGGUUAGCAAUCUCUUUACAUCGGUCAACCAUCUUUAUCAUCAUCACUGGUUUAAUUUGUUCCAGCCUUAAUUCUCGCUCAGACUGAGAUCUCAUGGUCAUCUUUGGACUCGGCCAACUCUUUUAACUAAUCUUCACGUGAGUUUUAUUAUAAAGAAUUUUUCUUAGAUAUAUUUUUUUAGUUUAUUUUCACAGAGAAAAAUGACCAAAACAAAUUUUAUUGAAUGGUAAAUAUGUAUUUAUACCAUAGGUUUAACUAAUUUAAUACUUAAUUAGGGUUUAGAGUUAAGGGGUUGGGUUUUGAGGAUGAGUUUAAAUUUUUAAAAAUAAAAUAUAAAUAUUAAAAUUUUCAAAAUAAAAAAAGCUAUUUUAGUCAUUUUAUUUUUUAGGGUUAUUUUUGUGACAAAAACUUAAAAAUGAUUAUUCGAAAGAAUUGUCUUUUCUUAUAUGUUUGUUAAUUUUGUAUGCUCCACUAAAUUAUUUGUAUCUUUUUCAUUUCUUAUCAAAAUUAGCAAAGAAGGCAACAUAAGUAAUAAAUACUAUUUAUUUCAUACUAUAUAUUAUUUUGUUUAUAUUCAUUUUUUGUUUUCAUUCCUAUUGUCAUUUUGAUAGUCACAGUUUAAAACUAAAGACUAAGAUCGAAUUUAUUCAAGCAUACUUAGAAUGAAGAGAUCAACUCUUAAACCACAAACUUACAAGACACAAAACCUGAGUCUGAGAGGAAAAUUGAGACCUAAACAAGACAACUAUCUUAUAACGUCAAUAUGGUCACGACAAGAUUGGAUUUGAGAUUCGUUUCGGUCUAGAGGAGAUUCAUGGAAGAACUAUGGUUUUAACUAGUGUUCGGAGAGAGGAAUGCAAAAACAAUAUAAGCAACAGGUUCAUUAGACACGCUUACAUUUGAUCAGACUGCAUAUGACAUAAUAUCAGAUGAGCCAAUAAAAUAUGAUAAUAACUAAUUAUCCCUGCAUUAUAAUUGACAUACCCACCAUUUCUAUCAUUUUAUCGCUCUAAUCAAAUGUUGAUUAAGAAAUUAUUAAUUCACUAAUAUACAUUCUUAUUUUUUUUGUCUAUAUACACAAUAAAAAUAGAUACUCCCAUAAUCCCAUUCCUUAAUUUAUCAUCUAUUGUUUCCAUCAAAUCUGCUUUGAAAAAAUCAAUGUGUUUGCUAUGUAGCAAAAUUUAGCAAAAACAAAUAUAGACAAAACCCAAAUUUAAAAUCUCAGUGAUAUACCUCAUCAAAAUAUCCUAGUUAUAAAUACACUACAUGACAACAAAAGAGAACAAUCUCAAUCUUAAUCUUAUUCAAGAAUCACAAAAAGGUAAAGAGAGAGAUUCAUUAGAAAAAUGGCGAUCGUGGGCCCUCAAUUUUGCGCACCGUACCCGGUAGAUUUGGGUAUCGUACGUAAGGUUAUGACGAUAACAGACGGUAACUUCGCCGUCACAGACGUCAACGGAAACCUCCUUUUCAAAGUGAAAGAACCAUUGUUUAGCCUCUCCGACAAAAGGUUCUUACUAGACGCUUCAGACAAUCCGAUUAUGACGUUGAGAGAAAACGUAAGAACACAAAACACUCUUGUUUUAUAACUUGUGCAUGGAUUAAGACACAUGAUUUAACUUUUUGUUAUGAAAACAUUUGUGCAUGUAUUAAGACACAUGAUUUAACUUUUUGUUAUGAAAACAUUAUAGAAGGUGAGCCUGCACGAUAGGUGGCAAGUAUUUAGAGGGAAGAGUACAGACCAAAAAGAUUUGGUGUACACGUUGAAACGAUCGUCAAUGAUUCAAUUGAUGAAGCCAAAGCUAGACGUGUUUUUGGCUCAAAACAAGGAAAUGAAGAUAUGUGACUUCCAUGUUAAAGGAAGUUGGAUCGAUCGAUCAUGCGUCGUCUACGCCGGCAAAUCUGAUGCCAUUGUUGCUCAGGUAAUCAUAUUUCAUCAAUAACCGGUCCAUAUAGAUAGUUCAUACACAGAGCCGUUUAUAUAGACUUAAUCGGAUGAAACAUUAAUUUUUGCCUCUAAAAUUUUUAAACCGAUUUACACAGGUCCAUAGUAGCUAGCUAAUUUCUAUUAACAGAACUGACUUUAAGCACAAUCGAAUGAAAAUAUUUGUUUUGUUUUCCAAAUUUAAAGAACUACAUAUGUAAAUCGCAUGGUCCUAAAUUAUCAAAAAAAUCUUAUUGAAAUUAAAUUGUUUUUUUUUAUUAUACCAUGUUCAUAUAGUCCGAUCGUACUAAUUUUUUUGUUUGUAUGGUUUCUCAGAUGCACAAGAAACAUACCGCGCAGAGCAUAUUAAUAGGGAAGAGUAACUUCUCGGUCACGGUUUAUCCGAACGUUGAUUAUGCUUUUAUAGUCUCUCUCAUUGUAAUUCUCGAUGACAUUAACCGAGAAGAUUCUGAAGACUAAACACACAAUUUUAAUGGAAUGAUUCUUGUUUUGUAAUAGUAUGAAAUAAGAAUUCGUGAAUCUUGAGGUUUUGUAUUGAUAUGAAUAUGAUAGGGCUUUUUGCAGAAUUGACCUAUAACUUAAAGUCAAACAGAAAACUAAUUUUUUUUUUUUUUUAAAUUGGUUUUGCCCUAUUCACCCCACAAGUUCAUAUAAUUUACGAAAAUGUCAUCAAUUUUUUUUUUCUUUUUUUUUCGAAAAUGACAUUUUUACUCUCUCACCCUCAUCAUCUUCAAGUAAUUACAAGAUUGCCAUUGUCAUCGAUACCACAACCACCAUGAACAACCAAUUUGAAGCUCUUAAUGCUCCCAAAAUCGAUUUACCCUUCUUCUUUUUCCAUUCUUGUGAACUAAACACAACAUAUCUCUCACUUUCUCUCCACAAUGAGCUAAAAAAACCCAAGAUUUUGAUUCUAAAUUUUUUAUGGUUCAUAGAGUCAUAGAAGCUAACGAUUCUGGGUGGGUUACUUUCGUUUGUCAUUCUGUGUGCUUGGAGAAGCCUUAUGUAUGCUAAGGAACUUAUCUCACCAAUUUAAGGUAUGACAUCGAGUUUUUUUCCAGAUCUGUUCGUCAGACGACUUACUUGGGAAGUCGUCUGGCUGUAGACAACUUACCUGGAAGUCGUCUGGUCAACGCAGAGGUUAUUUUUGCAAUUGACUUUGAAAUCUGUAACCUGAGACGACUGAAAUGUAAGUCGUCUAGCUUUUUUGGAGUUUUUUUUUAGCCAAACAAUAGUAGACGACUUAUUUUUCAGUCGUCCGAAAUAACAGAUUUCAAAGUCAAUUGCAAAAAUAACCUCUGUGUUGACCAGACGACGUAUAGUUUAGUCGUCUGGACAACUUAGAUUGAAGUCGUCCGCGUCUUCUCCGCUAGUUUUUAAGUCUUCUACGUUAGUUUUUGAAUAACUUGUAUUUUUAAGAGUGAUAAGUAACUUCAAGAUAUGUAAAACUCAUAUUUACAAAAUAUGUUCUCUCCCUUAGUUUUACUAAAUUUGACUAAGUUUUUCAACGCAAACUUAUAAUAAAAUAUGAUAUGCUUUGACUAGUUACUAUUGUUUGUUUUCAUCUCUUAAGUAUUAUUGUUAUAGACAAUAAUGAUGACUAUUGUUAUGAGUUGGAAGAAGGGUUAAAAUACUUCUUAAAAUGUUGUAUCAAUAUAAAGCUACCAACAUUCUUGUUUAUUAAGAUGAGAAAAAGGCCAUUGGAGUUUAUUAUUGCAUAUGAGAGAUCCAAAGAUAAGAAAAAGGCUACUGAAGUCUAUUAUUUCAUUGAUUUGUAAAUGUGUAAACACAUUGUUAGCACAUUUAAUACAUCUUGGAAAACAUUAUUACUGAUUUUACAAAAAAUUCACAACUAAAAGAGUAGACAUGCAAUUCACAAAACAGACCACAAACAAAACUAUUAUAGAUCAUUCCUCUACAAAGACAAGCUUGGAUUCCACUUGAGUAGACAAGACCACACGACUUGUAAGAAGUCCAGACGACUUCUAAGAAGUCCAGACGACUUCCAAGAAGUUCAGACGACUUUGUCAGAAGACUUUUAGGAAGUUCAGACGACUUUACAGGAAGUCCAGACGACUUUACAGGAAGUCCAGACGACUUUACAGGAAGUCCAGACGACUUUACAGGAAGUCCAGACGACUUUACAGGAAGUCCAGACGACUUUACAGGAAGUCCAGACGACUUUACAGGAAGUCCAGACGACUUUACAGGAAGUCCAGACGACUUUACAGGAAGUCCAGACGACUUUACAGGAAGUCCAGACGACUUUACAGGAAGUCCAGACGACUUUGUCAGAAGACUUCCAAGAAGUCCAGACGACUUCCAGACGACUAACAGGUAAGUCGUCCCAGAAGUCUUCCAGAUCUGAAAAACCUGCAUAUUAAAUCCAGAUCUGAAAAACCUGCAUAUCCAAAAACGUUCAAAUGACUUAAAAACAGAAAAAAUGUGUGAAAGAUUAGAUAAAUCUACCUUUACAGAACACACAAAAAUACAUAUCUAAAAAUAAUAGAUCUACCUUUAAAUUAGUGGAAGAUGAGUACCAUCUAAUUAAAAACCUGCAAAAAAGAUAGAUUAGUAAGAAAGACAUGAGACAAAACUGGAAAAUUCAUAUAAAGUUUGGUGUUUUCAAGUCAAAGAGAUUAGAGUGGGUUUGGAGAGUUUUAGUUUGAGAAAAAAGUAAGAACUUUAUACAACAAGAAGUUCCCAAAUGAAGAAAAAUCAGACAUAAGAACUUACCAAAACGCUCAGAUCUAUUAUGAAAGGAAGACUUCGUCAGAAGACUUCCAUGAAGUUCAGACGACUUCCUGGAAGUCCAGACGACUUCCUGGAAGUCCAGACGACUUCCUGGAAGUCCAGACGACUUCCUGGAAGUCCAGACGACUUCAGACGACUUCCUGGAAGUCGAAGUCCAGACGACUUCCUGGAAGUCCAGACGACUUCCUGGAAGUCCAGACGACUUCCUGGAAGUCCAGACGACUUCCUGGAAGUCCAGACGACUUUGUCAGAAGACUUCCAAGAAGUCCAGACGACUUCCAGACAACUUCCAGACGACUAACAGGUAAGUCGUCCAAGAAGUCUUCCAGAUCUGAAAAACCUGCAUAUCAAAUCCAGAUCUGAAAAACCUGCAUAUCCAAAAACGUUCAAAUGACUUAAAAAUAGAGAAAAUGAGUGGAAGAUUAGAUAAAUCUACAUUUAUAAAACACACAAAAAUACAUAUCUAAAAUUAAUAGAUUUACCUUUAAAUUAAUGGAAGAUGAGUACCAUUUGAUUAAAAACCUGUAAAAGAGAUAGAUUAGUAAGAAAUACAUGAGACAAAUAGAUUAGUAAGAAAUACAUGAGACAAAACUGAAAAAUUCAUAUAAAGUUUGGUGUUUUCAAGUCAAAGAGAUUAGAGAGAGGUUGGAGAGUUUUAGAAUGAUGAACAUUACAUUUUUGUUGCAGCCAUUUGAGAGGAGGAGAGAGAAUGUGUAAAUUUUUCUUUAUAUAGGGAGACAAAAAAUCCAAUUAGAUUAAAUAUUUUUUACUCAGACGACUUCCUGGACGACUUACAUUUCAGUCGUCUGGUGAAGAAAUUAAAACAGACGACUUACAUGUAAGUCGUCCAGAAGAGUUUAAUAUUUUUAGCGGGAAAUUAAAUAUUUUUAGCGGGAAACUAAAAUAGAAGACUUUCCAGACGACUUACAAGUAAGUCGUCUGGUUUAAAUUAUUUAAGCGGGAAAAUAAUUUUUUUAAAAAAAUUUAGGCGGGAAUAUUUGGACGACUUACAUGUAAGUCAUCUGUUUUAAUUUCUUCACCAGACGACUGAAAUGUAAGCCGUCCGAGUAAAUUAUUCAACAGACGACUAAAAUAUACGUCGUCCGAGUAAAUUAUUCAACAGACGACUGAAAUAUAAGUCGUCCACACCCUAAACAUAACCCCUAAACUUAAUUAUCUAAUUAAAGACUUCAUAAAAUCAAAUCAAACUUGAAAAGUGUUUACUAUACACAUAAAUAAACACAUAUAGGUGAAAACUAAUUUUUGAAAAAAACAUUUUAGUUUUCCAAAAUUAACCCUAACAAUACAUACAAUACUACAACAUAUGUUUGCCAAACUCCUAAACCAAAGUAUUUCAUGAUUCACUACUUCCACUCAUCUAUCUUCAAAACAAAUCAAUUUUAUCAUAUCUUAAUUUAUAUCACUUAAAACUGUUUAUAAUUACUUGAUUUUUAUUUUUCACGCAUCAAAAUAUUUUUUUACAAGAUUUAUAAAUUAUUUUUAAAAUAAACUGGUACCAGACGACUUAAACUUCAGUCGUCCAGACGACUUCCAACAUCUCAGACGACUCAGACGAUUUACUGGGACUAUAUUCGUAAAAAUGGCUUCUAUUUUUUUGUUUGGUCACAAGGGGUUGAGCUGUAAUUUCACUAGGCUUUUAGGUUAGUUUUGCAUUUGAUUCAAGUUUGGGUAUAGGUUUGGGAUUAAAAUCAAGUUGUGGGUUAGUUUUGGCGAAAACCCCAAUAUGAUAUUUGCAUGGAUACAUUUCUCUUUGUCUCGACAGAGGAUUAUCGAAAGCUUCAGGGUUAUUCAGUUCCUUGAACAGGUAAUCGACUGUACUCUUGAUAAGUGUAAGAGCAUGAUUAUUGCAAAACCCUAUAUGAGGGGUUCUUAUUAUUUAUUUAAUGCUUUUAAAUAGAAAAAGUGAUUUAAGAGACAAAAUUAAGAAAUCCUAACUUUUAAGUGCUUGUUCUUAAAUUAAGGCUCUUAAAAAAAUUAUUAAACAUAUUUUUAUUAAACCUUAAUUUUUUUGAUUAAAUAAAACAUACUAAAAUAAAACAUUUUAAACAUAGACUUUUAAAUAAAAUUAUAAAAACAAAGAUUAGUAAAGUGAAGAAGCAUUCGAAUCAGCUGUUGUCUUCAUCACGUCCAAAUUUAAGCCAUACAUGUUCAACCAAAUCAUCUUUCAGUUGUUGAUUCAUUUGUCUAUCACGAAUUCUAACACGAACACCCAUCAUAUUGGCGAUAUUUGUAUGGAUAUCUGUAGAAUACGUGAGAUCUACAUGUGAACUUCCGUUGUCUUUUCUUUGUUGGAACUCCGAAACAUCAAAUUGAGUGUAUCCAUCUCGUUCGUCUUCUACUAUCAUAUUAUGGAGUAUGAUACAUGCUCGCAUAAUCUUCUCAAUUUUGACUUUAUCCCAAAAAAGUGCUGGAUUUUUAACAAUGGCAAAACGAGCUUGCAAGACUCCAAAAGCACGCUCGACAUCCUUCCGGACAGCUUCUUGAUGUUGAGCAAAUAAAACUGCUUUCAGCCCUUUUGGUAUUGGAAUAGAUUGGAUAAAAGUUGCCCAUUUCGGAUAAAUACCAUCGGUGAGAUAGUAAGUCAAAUGAUACUCUCUUCCAUUGACAUAGUAAGUGACUUCCGGAGCAUGACCCUUUAUUAUGUCAUCAAAAACAGGUGAGCGAUCAAGAACAUUAAUAUCGUUUAAGGUACCUGGAGGUCCAAAAAACGCGUGCCAUAUCCAGAGAUCAUAUGAAGCAACCGCUUCUAAAACGAUGGUUGGUUUUCCAGAACCACGACAAUAUUGCCCUUUCCAAGCAGAGGGACAAUUCUUCCACUCCCAAUGCAUACAAUCGAUGCUUCCUAUCAUCCCGGAAAAACCACGAUACUCUCCAAUAUCAAGUAGACGUUGAAGAACAGCCGGUGUUGGUCUUCUUAGGUACUCAUCGCCGAAUAAAUUUAUUAUUCCUUCCACAAAAUGUUCCACACAUUUACGAGUUGUUGAUUCACCGAGACGUAGGUAUUCAUCGACCGUAUCAGCCGCAGUACCAUAUGCCAAGACACGAAUAGCUGCUGUACACUUUUGGAGUGUAGAGAGACCAAGCCUUCCAAGAGCAUCUUUUUUUUGGCGAAAAAAUUGAACUUCAUUGGAGAGUCUAUCAACAAUGUGCAUGAACAAUGGCUUCUUCAUUCUAAAACGUCGUCGGAAAAUAUUUUCAGGAUACGUUGGAGUUUCACUGAAAUAAUCAUUCCAUAAACGUACAUGACCUUCUUCUCGAUUUCUUUCGAUAUAAGCUCGUUUUUUUCUUUUUUUCCUUGCUUCUUCUUCAUCACCAUAAGCAAUGGUCAAAUUCUCUAACGUUGUAUCAAAACAUUGAUCAAAAAAUUGAUCAAAAUGUUCAUCAAAAGCGUCAUCUAAUGAUCCUUCAAAAGUAUUAUGAGAAGAGGAUGCCAUUGUUUUGAUUAUUUUUGAUCAAUUGUUUUUGAUUGUUUUGUUUGGUGAGAAGAUGAAAGAAAAGGUAGUUGAUUGUUUUGUUUGGUAAGACGGCAAAAAAGGGUAUAAGGUGAGAAGGUGAUAAGGUGAGAAGGUGAUAAUAAGAGAACAAUGCGAGAAUGAGAAGGUGAUAAAAUGUUUUUGAUUGUUUUGUUCGGUGAGAUGGAAUGUGAGAAUGAAGGUUUUGAUACUUAUGCUUGGAGAGAAUGCAACUUUAUAUAGAGUUAACACAAAUCCGCAGAAGACACUACAACAUCCCGUGACACUACACUACAACAGAGGCAUGACUACAAUAAUGGCCCGUGAUCAUUACACUACAACAGGAAUGGCCCGUGGAACUACACUACAACAGAAGCAUGACUACAAGAAUGGCCCGUGACACUACACUACAACAGGUUCUGAUACAAAAGAGUACACUACACAAGACACGACUACAAGAAUGGCCCGUGGUCAUUACAAGGCAUGUGAAGCUCUCUUGUCUUAUACACAUCAUCAAGCAGUCUUCUUCACCUGAAACAAACACAUGUAGAAUGAGAACAUGUUAAAUGACAAGAAUUUUUAAUUUAUUAACAAGAGAAAACAUCACGAGAACUAGAAACAGAGAUAAAAACAUUAGCAAGAACAAGAACCCGACAAAGAUAAAACUUAACAAGAAAACAUAACAUUAACCGUACCAAGACCUACUUAGACUAAUCAGUCAUUAACUCGGUAAUGAGCUUCUUUUUAGAGCUUCUUCGUAAUCUUGAAGCGGAUCUUGUUUAGCAAUGAGACUGUCAAGCAACUUCAUCUUUGACAGUCUUUCCUUCAUAACCGAAUCCUGCAUCUUUAUGCUCCACAUUGUCUGAAACUGUGAGAGGUCCUUCCCCUCACCCAUGCGUUUCUUACCACUGGCUUUUGCAGACUUAACACCCUGGGGACGGUUACUUCCCUCAUCAUCUAUAACACUGGGGACAGAGCUUGCUGACUGUGAACCUUCGUCACACUUCCUCUUCUUGGAGCUGCCAUCAUUUUUGGCCGUGUAAAGGGCACACCACUUCUGGUCAUUUCUCAACUCCUUCCAAGCAUGUUCAAGGGUGAACUUCUUGUUAUGGUUGGUGAAGAAGAUUUUGUGGGCAAGUUUGAGAACAUCAUUCUCAUUUUUCCCACUUCUUUUCUCUCUGGUUGCGGCCUCAUAUGCUCCAGCAAACUUGGACACUAAGUCAUUGAUCUUCUGCCACCUCUGCUUGCAGUGAGAUGGCUCUCUUUUUUCACAGCCACCAACCUUAGGACUAGCCUCAAAAUAUGCUGCUACUCUCUUCCAGAAAGCUACUGACCUUUGCUCAUUCCCGACAAGUGGAUCUUUGCUCGUGUUUAACCACGAGCUGAUCAACACUACAUCAUCGGUUGGACUCCAAGUCCUUCGUUCCUUACGCUCUGAAGGAGUCUUGUGUUCGAAGUUUCUACCCUCAGUAGCUUGAGUGCUAAGAAAAGGAAUAGAAGGAGAUUCUACACCUACGGAAGUAUCUUGUUGACUUUGAAGAAGAUCAACAAAAUUUAGAUUCAUAUACGGAUUAGAAUCCAUAUUUGAAAAUGUCUACGAAGAGAAGAAGGGGCCUGUUUGAUAUAUGGAAGAGAACAAGUUCUCUGAUUUAUAGCAGAGAUAGACACGAAGGCAUCACUUCUAACAAGUUCUCGAGUAGACAUUUAUCUAUAAACCACAUCAUUAAUCACUUCUAUUUAUAACUCAUACAACACCUCAAUUUAUGACCAUCCACAACGAGACUAACCAAAGCUUUUUUCAAUUCAAUAUAGCAAAGAGACCAUCACUUCUAUUAAAUACCAACACCAAAAUGACUUGACAUUUAUCUAUUAACCACAUCAUUCAUUACUCUCGGUUUAAUUCAUCACAGAAGUUAAUUCGAAUUGUUACAGAAGCUAAAUCAAUGCAUUUCAAAGAGUAACAGAAGCAAUAAUCAAUUCAUUUCAUUUCAUUAACAGAAGCUAAAUCAAUUAUGAUCGGUUAACAUAAGCUAAAUCAAUUAACAGAAGCUAAAUCAAUUCAUUCACUAACCUGUAUACACGGAUGGACGUUGAAGAUGAACCUCCCUCAUGUUUCUUUCCAUAGAACAAGUCCAUCUCCUUCGCCAAAGACAAACAAAAAGAAUGAAUCAACCAGAAACCAACCAAACCGACCUGACUGCUAGCUAACUCAUUCAUCACAAAAGCUAUAUCUAUUCAUUUCUAUCUAACCAUAAUCUUACACAGUCAUUAAUUAGCCUCGAUUCAAUUCAUCAUAGUACGUAAAUCUAUUCAUUGCAGUUCAGUUCAAAGCAGAUGAAAUAGUAAAAGAAUCACCAGUAAAUUGAUCGAAAUAAUUCAACAAACUAAUCAAUCUAGAUACAGAACCGAACACAAAAAAAUUCCCAAUUGAUCGAACACAAGUAAUUAAUCAAUCUACAGAACCGAACACAAAAACAAAAUCAAUCUACAGACAGAAAAUGCAAAAUCUGAGACAUGCAUGAUUGAAAAACAACAAAUAGAAGCUUAACCUUUGGAUUGAGGAGAGGAUGGAGACGCGAGCGCCUUCUGGAGAGAGAGAGAGAGAGUGAGCCCAACGGAGAGGUCCGUCGAGGAGACCCACAGAGAGGGUGAGAAUCACGGAGGAGAGCCAUGGAGACAGACGUCGCGAUCUCGUCGAGGAGCAACGGAGAGAAAGAUAAUCGCCGAUUUCGUCGCCACGAAGAGGGUGAGAAUCACGGAGGAGAGCCAUGGAGACAGACAUCGCGAUCUCGUCGACGAGCAACAUAGAGAGAGAGAAUCGCCGAUUUCAUCGCCACAGAGAGAAAGAGCUUUCGAGAGAGAGAGAGAGAAAAGACGAAACGAAGAAGAAACAAACCUCUCCUCUCUCCUCUCAAACGCCUACACGUGUCAAUAGGAGCCGACUCUUCUUUAGCCAAAUUAAGACACGGUUCUAGUUUAAUUAUGUGUUUUUCCUUUUUUUUUAAACCCAAAUUAGCUUAAGAGCCAGGUUAAGACCCCCCGAUAUUAAUGCUCUAACAUUUGACUUAAACAGCUCCUUCUUAUUCACUACUCUCUUUUUCGUACUUUUUAUUCUGGUAAAAGCAUCUCCAACUCAUUCUAUUCUUUGGUUUAAAAUAGUUAAAAAUGUUUUAUCCUGUAUUUUAAGACAAUCUUCAAUACAACUAUAUUUUUCCUCUAUAACAAAAUUACUCUAUAAUAAAGACUAAUAUAUAAAUGUUUAGAAAAAAAUAGAAUAGUAUUGGAGAUGGUCUAAUAAUGUAAAAUAUGAAUUUACUAUAUAAAUUGAGUAAUCCAUUUAUUUCUGUUAAUCACUCUACUUUCCCUCUAAAAUAUAUUAUCAUUAGAAUAGAACUAAUUCUAUUAUAGAAUUAUUCUAUUUUUUUUUUUUUAAAUGAACCAUUGUUGGUGAUCUAAGGAUCAUUAUGAUUAAGGUUUGAUUGUAUAAUGCAUGUAAUUUAUCUAAAUACGUAACAAAAGAUUUUACCAAUGGUCCAACAUGAGAAAAGAUUGGGAAAUUUCCAAAUGUUUUUUUGAUCAACAAUUUUGGUAAAAGGGUAAGGGUAUUUUCCUUUUUAUACAAAGCAAAUGGUGUGACAUCAUGGAAUGGUAUAUUCCAGCGAGAAAAUAGCUCUACAUGUCAGCCACGGAUGAUGAUGAUCCCAAUCCAAUCUUGAAUGAGAAUUUGAUGCAUGUUAACUCCUUGCGCCCGCCAUCAAGCAUCUUCAUCGUAAGUGAGUAUUUACCCUAUGAGAAGUAACAUGAUUAGAUUGCUCCAUAAAUGCAGAAUCCAACCAACAAUUUCUGCUAUGGAAAAUAUAAUAAACUAACGAUCAUAUUAAGCAAUCUUGGCAACUACUAGGCCAUUUGUUAUGUUUGCUAUAGGAUAACAUAAAAUUCAAAUCAGCCUAAUGAAUCAGCCUGGUAGAGUAUAUCCCACAAAUCCAGGGGCAGAUCUGGGCACAGCCCAUCAAAAGAUCUAAGCAAAAAGAGAUAAAGAACACUCAAUAAACUUACAGGAGGAGUAUAACCGGGUAGAACUUGCGAGUGCGCUACUAAGAAAUCUCCAACUGCCACUGGACAACUUGUCUCAUCACAAAGAUCAUGCGUCUCAGAAUGAAUAUGCCACCCAAAGUAUGACACUUCGAUCACCAGCUUUCCUCGUGAGAUCACAUUAUCUUCAUAUUACACAAAUCCAAAAAAAAAAAAACACACACCACAAACUCCAUUUAAUUCUAUCAAACUUCUUGAAGAACAAUUAGAAAACAAGAACAAUAACGAUCGAUCUUAGAACAUAACAAGUUCAAUUUUGCAACACUUAAAAAACACCUAUAGACACUUUUACAGAACAAAACAUCACAACAAACAAAGAUCUUUGCGUUAUAUGUAAUGAAUGUGUGUACUUGUGUUAGCAGAGAUGCUGAAAGUGGCUGGCUGGCCAGUAACUAUAGGAUCAGGCGAUAUAUCAACUCCAUGGACCUUUACUUGAUACUCUUCGUUAUUAUCUGCAACCAAACACAUACCAAAUCAGAUCAAGAUUCUGGGUUUCUCUCCAAACUUAAAUCAUCAAAGACAUUGACUUUGAACUGAAACUAAGAUUCAAACAUCAAAACCCAUCUAAAGAACAUCACCAAACCUCAACGCAUCACGAACCCAGAAUCAAAAGUCAUCGACUUUGGCCACAACUGGAUCAAAAACACUAUAAACAAGACGAAACUCAGUUGAAUUCAAAGGGACCAAACAUACCACAGUAACUGACAUCGGUGGCUCUAACAAUCGUCGAGACGAAGAGAAGACAAGAGAGAAUAGCGAGAGCAAAUCUCGACAUGAUUGAUAGAUUCUCGGAGCAGAAGAAGAAGAAGAAGAAUAUUUUUUUUUUCAGGAGUUUGAGAUGAUGAUUAGAGAGGACAAAGGAGACUAAAAACAAGCAAAGAGACAGAACAUACAUGCUUGAAUCGGGAUUCUCGUUUCACAAGGAAUGUCUGAUAGAUCUUGACCGUUCGUUUAGGUGGGUCCUUGAUUCUUGAAAAUUGACGGUUUGGAUUUUGUAGAAUGUGUGGUUAACCGCAGAGGAUUUUGGCAGUGAACAAACCGUUAGGUGGGAUUUUUGUGUAUAAUUUCAAUUUGUGGUCAUCACUUGGCAACAAAAAAUAGUUGGAAUUUGCCAGCUCAGAUUUGACGUUUUUUAAUAAUACAGCUCAGAAUUGACUACUACUAUUAUUUUGGAAACAAAUAGAAUAAUUUAUUAGUUCAAUGAAUCUUUCUCUUCCCAACAUGAAAUCUAUUUAUAAAUAAAACACUUCUUCCUAAAUACUCUCUCGUUAUAUAUAUUAAAAAAAACACAUUAAAUUAUGAUAAUAAAUAUAUAAUUUUCUGUAAUUUUCAAUAAUUUCUAACCAAUAGUAAUUCAAUAAAAUUAAUUAAUACUCUCUCAUUUCACAAAGAUAGAUUUUUUAAUAUGUUUACACAUAUUAAGAAAACACAUUAAAUUACGAUAAUAAAUAUAUAAUUUUCUGUAAUUUUCAAUUUUCAAUAAUUUCUAACCAAUAGUAAUUCAAUAAAAUUAAUUAAUUUUCUUAAAGUUUACAACUUUUUAAUAAAAAUAAAAAAAUACAUUUUUGUGAAACAAACUUUUUUUCUAAAACAUCCAUCUUAAUAAAAUGGAAGGAGUAUAAAUUAAUUUUAGAGAUUUUAUCACCUUUUUAGUACUCCCUCCGUUUCGUAUUAUUUGUCGUUUUAGAAUUAAAAUUUUGUUUCAUUUUAAGUGUCGUUUUAUGUUUUCAAUGCAAAAUUUAAUAACAAUAUUCUCCAUUUUAUUUUUUUAUUGGUUGAAAUAUGGUUAGAUAUAUAGGUAAUGAUGUUUUUAUUUUGGAAAUAUGCAAAAUUAAAAGUUUUCUUAAUCUGUGUGCAUAAACCUAAAACGACAAAUAAAUUAAAACGGAGGGAGUAUUAUUUAUCUAAAUCAUUAUUGCGAGAUGAUAUGACACCUAAUGGUGGUCAUUUUUGUUAAAAUAUGAUAAAUUAUUUUCCAUUUAUUAUAUUUAAAUUAAAAUUAAUGUCAAACUUAUAUAUUGUUUAAUGAGAAAUUUCCAAUGAUAACUGUUUUUAAUUUUUUGUCACAAAAAAUAAUUUUCAAUAAAAAAAUGACCAAAAUAAAUUUUAUUAAAAAGUAAAAAUGCAUUUAUACCAUAGCAUUAAAUAAUCUAUACUUAAGUUUAGAGUUAAGGGGUGGAUUUUGAAGAUAUAAUUUCAAAAUUUUAAAAUAAAAAGGGUUAUUUUGUUCAUUUUCUUUAUUAAAAGCUAUUUUGUGACAAAACUUUUUUUUUUUAAUUAUUUGAGAGAAUUGCCCUAUAUGUAUUCUAUUUUAUUUUUUAUUUUUCUAGAAUUUAUGAAAAAAAAUGGUAAAUAGAGAAUUGCCCUAUAUGUAUUCUAUUUUAUUUUUUAUUUUUCUAGAAUUUAUGAAAAAAAAUUGUUUCUCUGAAGAUUUUGUGAAGGAUAGAAUCGGCCAAAGUUCUUAUCUUAUUUAUCUAUUCAAUUUUUAGUAUCAUUUUUUUCUUCAUUUUGUUUUUUUUUUUUUUCUGUAAAAAUAUAGUUUAUUAUACAUUAAACAUUAUUUUUAGGCCCUCUUGGCUCAGGCCCAUAAGCUAAAAGGCUUAUUUGAUAAAUCACACUGACAACAAUUCGGAGCAAGAAGUUUCAAAGGAGCUUCUUUUUUUUUUUGGGUCCUUUUGACAGAUGGCUAGAUUCCUUCUCCUCUGUUUCCUCUUCGCGGCGGCGCUGACGUCAUCGUCGACGGAAGCCGGCGACGACAAUAGAGUCUACUCUCCUUGCUCAGAUUCAACAGUCGCGGUAGGCGACGGAUUCACUUUCGGCAUUGCCUUCGCGGCGAGAGCUUCUUUCUUUGGCACCAAUCGUUCCGUUCAGUACUCUCCCUGCGAUCGUCGCCGCCUCUCCCUCAACGGUAACUCUGAGCUCGCCGUGUUCAGACCUAAAGUCGAUGAGAUCACACUUCUCACCAUCAAUACCUCCUCGAGCUCCUCUAGUUUCAGCGCGGUUCGUUCUCAAUCUCUGAUCUAUCGUUGGGGGGGGGGGGGGGGGUUNNNNNNNNNNNNNNNNNNNNNNNNNNNNNNNNNNNNNNNNNNNNNGGGGGGGAGUUUCAGUUGGAUCUGAAUUUCUCAGACCAGAUUAGUUUAGUUUCUUGACUUGUCGGAAUCUCAGGCUUAGAAAGUUGGCGACUUUGCUCUGUUGACAAGUUUGGUAGUUGUCUUUGAUGCUAAGCUAAUUGUCAGACAUCUCUUGUAUCAAUGUCCUAAUGUGUAGAAAAGGUUUUGCAAGGUCUUGUUUUCAUUCUGCAUUUUUUUUGUUUCAGUUAGAUUAGAAGUUGAUAAUCAGCUGAUACCCCGGCUUCUAAAGAAUUAGGUGAUAAGCAGGUUAACUUAUGUUGUGUAUGUCAUUAGAGUACUAGUGUAGAUAUUACUGGCAUAAGUUGAUUUUUGUAAGCUUCAUUGCCAAACAUGAUAUGAGAUCACUAAAAUUAUUACUUUUGCUUAAAAGUUGAGGUAUGAUACUUUGUGAUUCCAGGAUUCAUCAAAGGGAUACAUGGUAGCAUUCGCUGGUUCAAAAUACGCUGCAAGAUCAGUUCCAAUUAUGGUUGCAGACAAUGAUCACGUCGUGACAAGCUUCACCCUAGUAAUUGAAUAAGCUCAUAUCAGUCUACAUUUUCAUCUUAUUGAAACUUCUACCUCUAUUAUCAUCACAUGUGUUAAUCUCUAUUUUGUGCUAUUUAUCUUCCAGGUUCUUGAGUUUCAGAAAGGCAGGCUUGAGAACUUGUUCUGGAAGAAAGACGGAUGCUCCAAAUGUUCUGGAAAUGCCAAGUUCGUGUGUCUCAACAAAGAAGAAUGCGCGAUUAAGAGACAAAGCUGCAAGAACCAAGGAGGGCAAGUAGAUUGCAGCUUGGGGAUCCAAUUAGCGUUCUCCGGCACGGAUAAGCACUACACCGCGUUGAACUCGUGGUACGAGGUUGCGAAUCUGAAGCAGUACUCGCUUUAUGGCCUAUACUCUAAUCUAAAGGGUUCACUAAGCAGCCAAUUCAAAAACUUCUUCUGAUGAGUUUCUUUCUCCUCAUGUGUGUUUACUUCUUUUGUAAGUUUGUAUUAUUACCCGGUCUCUUGGUUAUGCUAUAUUUUUACUGUAUUUUAUUACAUGGCUUGUAACUUUUUCAUGAAUGAAGAUUUACGCACAGCUUCUAAAAGAUAAUGAUUAAGAGAUCAUUUGGUUCAAAAUGCACAUAUACCUCAGCCAAACACAAGAAACCCAAAAUCACAUAAAGUGCACCAAAAUAAUAGCAACAUAGAUAGAUAUACAAAGGAAAUAUUCUACUGGUUUGAUUAAAAAGGUUUCAAAGAAAGAAUAGAUUUGCAAAUUACGAAACUCACUUCAACGCAAUAGAAGACGCCUUGCCUGAGGAGGAUUUGGUGGUGACCCUUGACCUGAAGUUGGCUGACCUCCACCACCACCGCCACCACCACCUCCGCUGUUCCAUGGUUUAACGACAGCAAGAACCACAACAACUAUGAUAAUGAUGAGAAUGAGAAUAGCGAUACAUGUCCAUUUACGGGUGUUCUUCUGGUAAACCCGAGCGGUUUGCAGCUGCUCAGUUCCACCUCGGAUAAAGGAGCUAGCUCGGCCCACGUGGCUCUCGAUGUCGUCGAUCUGAGCUCCCUGGUGCUCGACCAGCACCGCCAUGUCGAGAAACACUUGGUGAAGCUCCCUGAGAUUCUUCUCAAUGUCCUUAACCGCGUCAUGCCUUUCUUGGAUCUCGUUGAUGGUGUCUAAGACACGUCCUCUUCCUUGUUCUUGUAUUGCUUUCUGCAAGAAUCUCUCACUUUCUCCUGCAAUAAAACAGUUCCCAAUGUUACACACCACUCACCUAAGAGUAUGCCUAGUUUCUGAUCUCAAGCUUCUUUUCAAAUCCAGGUGUAAGCAUAGACAAGCAGAUUUUAACAUAACCAAACCGAAUUGGUUCAGAUUUGGUUUUAAGUUUGGUUCAAUACGACAGUUAAAAAAUCGGUUAUUGGUUGGAUUGGUAAUCAGUUAAUUCGGUUUUUAAAAAGACAAAAUAAAAGCCAAAUAAUAUGGAUUUUAACCAUCUUCAAAAUCGAACUAACCGAAAGAACCAAAAUUAGUCAAGUUUUUCAUCAAUUUAAACCGAAAAUCUAACGGGAACUUUACUUAAUUUUGGCAUAAUUUUCAUAAACCGAAUUAACUGAAUUUAUUUUUCGGUUCAAUUUGGUACAAUUUUCAGCGAAUUAAGCUUAUUUAAAAACCAAAUUAACCGAACCGAACCUGUAGGUCUAGCUAGGCAUCCAAACUCGGAGAGCACUGAACUACACAAUCUCAGGUGAAAACGAUUCAACUAACCUGUAGAAAUCAACCGAUCCAAAGUCCUCUCAUCCGGAUUCUCGCCGGUGACGGUGAAGUACCUCCUCUGCACAGUAUCUCUAUACUCAGACGAGAUCAGCUCCCUCAAGCGGUUGAAACUAUCCAUAGAGUCCUUCAGCUUCUUCCUCAAACCAUUAAGGACGGAAGUCCUUGUACGAUCCGACGAAGAUCCAGGUCCACAGCCAGGGAGGCUCCGAUUAGCCGCGUUGGAGCGAUCGAGCGCCUCGAGUUUCACCUUGAUCAUCUUCGCUUUCUUCAGAGCCACUCCGACGUCAGCGUCCAUCUUGGAGCGGAGAUCCUUGACGGCUUCGGCAUUGUGAAGCGUCUUGCUGUGCUCGUGAGAGGAUCGGAGCGUGUCGUUGAGCCGAUCUAGCUCCUUUAGCUCCUCUUUGACGGAUUCGACGUCUUCGAAGAACUUGUCGAGGUUAACUCCCGCCGGAUGCGUCAUCUGGAUUCCUCCUCCGCCGCCGCCGGCGUCUCCGCUGCUGCUGCGGAAGCGAGAGAAUGAGCUGGAAAACAGAUCGUUCAUCGAGAAUCAAAAAUCUAGAGAGUCUCAGAUCGGAUUCAAUCAACGGAUAGACUUAAUAAGGAAGGAAGAAAGUCGUACUGAUUCAAACCACACGGUUUGGUGAACGACGGAAGAAGGUAGAGAGAGAGAGAGAGAGGAAAAGUCCAAAAUUUAAUUAUUUUCUUAUAAUAUGUUUUUGCGGAAAUGUCAAAAGAGGAGGGAGAAAGUCAAGAAGGAGGACUUGGUGAUUGACUUGGAAGCUUCGUAGUGAUGGCGGAGAAGGAAAGGUGAUAGUGAAAGCGUGUAGCGUGCAAAUAUGGUAAGCAUAUAAAACCGGAGCGAAAAGAUUAAUUGUCAUUGUUGGGCCAGAAGUGAGGCCCAAAUAAUCAGGAAUUCAAAUAGGCCUAGGUUCAUUUAUGUCCUUCAGCGCUUAGAAAUUUAAAAUAUUUAUUUUAUAUAUUAUUAGUUAGAAUCUUCAAAUAUUUGUCCGAGUUUGGUUUUACAUCCUUUCGACGGCAAAGAUACCACCCCACUGGAGACGAUUCAACUGGCUAAAUCUGAGGCGGAAAGCUCACUCAAGUAAUAGAAAAACCACAAGAUGAAGACGCUGAAAACGAGCACCGCGCAACCCCUCUCCCAAGAACCUGCCCGAUAUGCUUGACGGACGCCUCCUGGCACAAAGACGACACUUUGUUCGGUGGAGGUAUGGUCUUGAUGACCGAGGAUGGGACAACGACUUAUGGUUCAUUCGCUAGUAACCAAUUCGAUUCCUUCUGAAUUAAUUAUAUAUGGUGUUUGCCGUCAAAAAAAAUUGAUGGAUCCCUAAAUAAAAUGAGGUAUAAACUUUGUGUGUAUAGUGAUACGCCCUAAAUAUGGAAAGGAUCACUCAGCCGGACUAAGGGAAUAUGAACUCGCCAAAAGGGAGAACUGGUGGAUUCAAUGGUGACACAAAAGGGGCGGAAAGUCUCUUGAUACUAUCAGACUUCAGUUGUUGCUUGAUAUGAUGCACAAGUCCAACAAAAGAAGAGUUUCUAAACGUUGAUUGAUAUGACGCACAAGUCCAAUGAAAUAAAGAAUGUUUACUUGGAAGAAACUCAACAAGAAACAAGAAGUGUUCUACAAAGAACAAAGAGAUAAACUCAUAAAAAAAAAAAAUCAUUGUCUUAUUUCGUGGCUCUUAGCCUUAUUUAUAGGAUUACAAAUUGCAGACAUCCAAAGAAAAAUGUGUUAAAAAUAAAGACAUUGAAUAUAGAAACAAAGACUUGACUAAAUAAAGUCUUUGACUGAAACUUGGGCUGUCUCUUGAUAUAACCACGACCUUGACUUGGUUCAGUGAAGAAUAUACUCCUGUAAUGGGCCAAGACAUGUCUCUUUAAUGCCUGGUCGAAAUCUUUCUCUUUUCCUUUGCCAAUUUUUAUCGGUUUCUCCAUUUGACCCAAACAAGUCCGUUUUUGAAUCUUUUAAAAAACCAUCAAACCCAAGGCUUUCUUGGACAUUUAGAACAUGAAUAAUCACCUUUGGCAUGAUUGAAUUGGUCGUUGAUUCAUCAGAAAGAAGGUUAGCCUUUUCCAGCUUCUCGGAUGGUCUGAAUUCGCGAGAACUAAAGAUCACAUGAUUUGUAAAUGGCAUAACUGUCACAUAUGAACUCCGUUUGAUCUGAUUCUUCUUUGAGGAGCUCCGUAAUUGAGUUGAGAACAUUCUACAAGUGAUUUCAUGCGUAUAAGCCUUGUGAUUUGGAAGAUAUGAGUCAAACAAUGAACAUAUAUCUUUACAACAUCCAAAGAUCAAGCCAUGCAUGUCUGUUUUUUCCGGUGCGCUACCCAAGGGCGCAUCAUAUAGGGUACUAUAUGAAAGUUUCGAUGGAAAAAUAGAUGUGUUCUUCUUUCAAACUCUUUAAACCAAUUCAUAAUACUCUUCUCGCUGCGGUAUGUCACUAUUCUUAACUUCUUGUUUGGACUAAUCGGUAGAUCAAACUAAAAAAGGUUUUUAUUUGACAAUAGUAGCUUAUUUGUUUAGCUAACCACCAAUUCAGCCACUGUAAUAUAGGCUUGGGCGUUUUACCCGGAUCCAAAGACUGGAACCGACCCGAAAAUACAAGUUCGGAUCUGGGUCCAGGUCCAUGCUGAAGUAUCUGUUGGAUCUCUUUUUUUUUUGGAUUCACGGGUCUCGGUUCGGGUCUGUGUUCUACCCAAGACCCGAUCGGGUAUCUGAAGUACCCGAAAUUUAUUGUAUAUAUUAGGUAUAUUUGGGUAUUUGGGUAUAUUUUUGAUAUUUCAGAUAUUUUUUUAAGUUUUGGAUCUGGAUUUUCGGGUAUAAUUUCAGAUUGCAGGUAAAAUUUUAGAUUUUCAAAAAAUAUAAUUCGAGUAUUCGGGUAAAAUUUUGGGUCUGUUUUGAAUUUUCUGGUCUGAUUUUAGGUAGAUCUUCGGCAUUUUUACGAUUCUUUGGGUAUUUAUGGAAUUUUUGGGUAUUUUUUUAGUUUUUGGAUUCAAUUUAGGUAUUUCGGGCCUUAAAUAUCCGAACCGACCCAAACCAAGAAUAUACCCCAAAAUUAAAAGUAUUUUAUGGAUAUUGAAAUUAUAGAUCCGAACCGACCCGGACCCGGUAAAAUCCGACCCAAAACCGACCUGAAAAUUAUAUGUACCUCUACGAAUUCAAAUUUUCAAGAUCCAAAAGACAAGGAUCCGACAAGACCCGAUUCGAUGACCCGGAUGUUCGGCCUACUAUGAUCUACAACUCAUUAGUUAUUGUUUGAAAGUACUUUUUAUAUUUGUUUGUUAGUUGAAAUUGUCAUUAUCUUUUUAGUACUUUAUCAACUUAAAAUAAAACCCACAAAGAACCCUAAUACAACGACGACUAUCGUAAGAUGUUUUAAAAGUAUACUAGAUUUUGACCCGCACUUUAAAAGCGCGAGAUUUGUUAUUAUGUAAAAUUUAAAAGUUAUAAAUAUUUUUUACGGCCAAAUAAAUUUACAGAUGUUUUAUUAAUUAUGGUCUAAAACAAACAAAUAAUAGUUUGUUAAAAUAACUGAAAUGAGCUAAUUAUAUGAGUUGUCGAUUUUAUAAUAAUUCUUAACGAUAUGUGUUAUUAAUUAUGAAUUAUCCCUCAGAUACCUAUAUUGAACAUAAAAGUAUUAAUAUUCCACGUUAGUUAAUAUAUAUCUAUAUUAUACUUCUAAAUUCUAAUAAUAUUUCAUUUUAUAGUACCUAAUUUAAAAUUGUAGUUACAUGUCAAAUUUUAAAAUGCAGAACAAUUUGAGUUUAGGUUGAUUUGGUGAUGUCUACAUUUUUACGCAAGUUUCAGAAUUGUAGGCGAUGACCAUAAAUUCAAUAUAUUGAGAAUAUUCUUGAGCACAAAAUAAGGAAGUAAAAUUUUUCUUGUUAAAUAAGUUUAAGUCUUUCUAAAAAUAUGGUACAUCUUAUACAAUAAAGUAGACAAUAGUCUCUCCUUAGAGUGCCACAUCAUAAGGUUGAAGGGUGCAAAUUAGGACAGGUGUUUUCUCCAAUUUCUUCAUCUCACCAAAAUUUUCGUACCAAAUCUAUGGGACAGUUACUGGGUCUAAUGUUUGAAUGUUUUGUAUAGUUAGGCCCAUAUGUAUUUAGGGUUACAUUAUUAUCCUGCUUAAGUUUACAAAGCAUCGACGUUUUCACCAUACAGCUAGAAUUCCGAUCGACACUAUGUAACAUCUGCCAUUUACAUUUUUUUGGUGUUUAAAUCCUAGCAUUUAUGUCACUUAUACCACCCUCCCACUCUCUGGCUUUUAAUGGAGCUUAUCAUAUUCUAAGAUAACCGCUGGAAGCUCCAUCUAUAAAUGUGUUUGCUCCCGACGAUGAACAGCAUUAAAUCUGCAAAAACUAAAAGCACGAUCCCUGCAAAGCAUCAACUCAACAAUGGAGAAAUCCUCCAUCAUGCUCGCCGAUUUGAAAGCUUACCGGUUCUGGCGGUGGUGAGAUUCAACACCGGCACAUUCCUCACACCACCGCGACAAGAGCAAUUCAUAAGCUGCAUCUGGUAUUUGGUUGUACUUGUUUCCUUCAUCAUUUGUCGGUUAAGUGAAUUAUAGCUUGAGGAGUAGCAAAGAUGUUGCAAGUCUAAAAAGUGAAAUACAUUCUGCUAGAAUGUUUGUAAUAGAAUCAAUAAUUUUGACUCUUCAGGAUGUUUUUUUGUUUGUUUGUUUCUUAAACAGGGAACUGCAGCGGAGGAUCGUUCCAAACAGAAGCUGAUCUCACAUAACGAUUCAUCAGGUUUUGUUUGUUUGGUCUCUUUUUAGAUUGUUUAGUCGAGGAUAGGUUUGCUAACGUGAUUUUAUUGCAUCUAUCAUCCUAUUUUCUCUUAUAGAUACAAUGUUUUUGUGUGUGUCUUCUUUCAGGUUGCAGAGUUUUAGGUCCCCAUCAGUGUUAAAACAACACAACAAAACAAGUUUAGCAAGUUCUAUGUUAGGUGACCGACUCCACCGUCACCAUCCUGUUUCAAUGAGAUGACUAACUUUGUUUGAAAUAACUGUUCUUAGUGUUCAUUUUCUUCUUCUUAUUUUGAUUUAAGGGAACUUCAGUAAUCAUGAGGAAGAUGAUAGAGACGGCUUUUCCUUUAUUCUUUUUAGACUGAGAAUGCAUAGAAGAAGAAAAUGCAACCAUUGGCACAAAAGAAACUGGACUUUGAAAAGUUAUGUGCGGCUGGGGUCAGCGUUUACCAACUGGAGGCUCUUGAAGAAUGGGAACAGAUUGCAACUUCAGCAUUUGAGAACUUCGAGCAAGAAGGGCAUAGAAUCAUAUCCGUCCAAGAACUAGCCGGGGUAUGGUCCUAUAUUCAACCUUGUAUGUGAUUGAGUAAGCAUCAUCUAUUUUGUAAGAUCUAAAACAUAUUUAAUGAUUGGGGCGUGGUAUAAAGCAGGAGAUGACUCUGGCACCAAAUGCAUAUCCUCUGCUCAAGGAUUGGAUCUGGAGUUUGGAUGGAAAGCUUAGUUUCUUGGGCUACGCUAAGUUCUUGCAUGGUGUGAUCGUACGAAGCUCGAGCUCAAGACCUAGGUGACACAUCGGCAUGGGAAAAUUCUUCUACGUGUGAGUCAAUUCUUGAUAAGUAUCGAAAACGACUUAGUCGUCAUCAAGAUAUUGGGUUUAAAUGUACAACAUAUACUGGAAGAAAAAAAAAUAUAUAUAAUGGAAAUGGAAGCUAGGUGCGUCAUUUGUAAAUAAUUCUUUGAGCAUUUUGUCUUCAGAAGAACCAAACCCCUAAAAGAAAAAGAAACAAACAGGAAAAAUAUAUCAUACAUGAGAUGACUAACUUUGUUUGAAAUAACUGUUAGAUUUAUUAUUAUAAAUAUGCAAAAACUCUUUCAGUCUCCACUACUGCACUGUAACAAAAAAACGAUUCAAGGAAACAAUAGUGGCUCAUAUAUAAUUGUGGCUUAAAGCAAAAUAAAAAACUGUGGUCUUAAAUAUUUUGAUAAAAAUUUAGAAUUCCAUGUAAUUAUAGUUCUACUAUUAUUAUAUUUUACUUUAGAAAAACUCAAAAUAUUUUUAAAUUUUUGCUUUCUUUUUUGGUCAUUUUUUUGAAAUAUGUUUAGAACUAUUUAUGUCAUAUUUUUUGUGGUUAACCAAAUAAAUAAAAUAGUAAAAUGUCACUAUCAAUAGUAUGUAAUAAACAAUUAUAAUAAAUUAAAAGAUAAAAACCAAUUAAAAAAAGAUAAAUUGUUGAUCUAAGUUUUUUUUUAAAAGUGAGACACUCAAGGUUUCCAUAAUACUACCCUAGAAUAACUUUGAAACUGUAGAUAAUUAAAUAAGCCCAAUGCUUUAGAUGCUUUGAAGAAGGACCGAGUAUAUAGGGAAAAAAAAUUGUGGUCUUAAUUAUUUUGAUAAAAAUUUAGAAUUCCAUGUAAUUAGAGGUGAGCGUUCGAGUACCCAUUCAGAUUCGGUUCGGAUCUAUUCGGGUUUCGGGUGUUCGGGUUCAAAGAUUUCAACCCCAUUCAGAUAUUUCUAAAUUUCGGUUCGAGUUCGUUUCGGAUCUUCGCGGGUUCGGUUCAGGUUCGGAUAAUCCAUUUAAAUUAUUUUAUAAAAUUUUAAAUUUAUUAUAUACUUAAAAUUUCUUAAAAUCUAUAAACAAAAUUAUAUAUUACAUAUAAAUUUGAAUAUAUGUCAAAAUACAUAAAAUUAACAUAUAAAUUGGUUUGAUUUGAAUAUUUGGAUAGUCUUUCAAGUAUUUGUAGUGUUUUGAAUAUAUUUUAGCUAUUUUACACAUUUAAUUUUGAUUAUUUGUGUAUAUUUUCAAGUAUUUAGGAAAACUUAAAAGUAUUUUAAAUAUUUUGGAUGUCUUUAAUACAUAUUAAAUCUAAAGAUAAGUAACAUAUUUAGGUAUUUAAAUCUAUUUCGGAUACAUUCGGGUACCCAAAAUACUUUGGACCGGAUUGGGUUCGGUUUCGGUUCUUUAAAUAUCAAAAUUUUGAAUCCGUUCGGAUAUUUAAUCAAUUUCGGUUCAAGUUCGAUAUUACUUUUUUGGAUCGGGUUCGGUUCAAUUUUCCGGAUCCAGGUUUUUUGUCCAGUUCUACAUGUAAUUAUAGUUCUACUAUUGUUAUAUUUUGUUUAGAAAAACUCAAAAUAAACUUUUAAAAUUUUGCUUUCUUUUUUUGGUCAAAUUUUUCAAAUAUGCUUAGAACUAUUUAUGUCAUGCUUUUUUUUGUGGUUAACAAAAUAAAAUAAAAUUGUAAAAUGUCACUAUCAAUAGUAUGUAAUAAACAAUUAGAUCAAAUUAAAAAGAUAAAAACCAAUUAAAGAAAAGAUUAAUUGUUGAUCUAAGUUUUUUUUUUUUUAAAGUGAGACACUCAAGAUUUCUAUAAUACUACACUAGAAUAACUUUGGAACUGUAGAUAAUUAAAUAAGCCCAAUGCUUUAGAUGCCUUGAAGAAAGACCGAGCAUGUAUGGAACCCUCACCUGUCUUGUCAAAUCCACUCCGUCUGUAAAAAAAAAAACCAACAACAACCUAUUGGUGGACUAUCUAUUAGCAUCAGUAUCUAUUUGCAUGGACACGGAAACUACAUGAAAUCAAUGUCGAAAGACAUCAAUAAAGUCAAUGCACUGAGCGUAUGUGAAAAUCCUCCAUUGUUGCUUAACAACACUCGCAAGGACAUAUGCCACUGUAACGUAUCUCCCCCAACAAAAUAAAAGAAAAAUGCGACAAUCUUACUAUUACAAACAAAUAAAAUAGAUUAUAUAUUUCAUAUAAAACCUACUCUACAAAAUUUUACAUUUUAUGCUUCAACUAUUAGUCAUUCAAUUUGUGUAUUCAAAAAUUAUAAACAUUAUUUCACUGCUUUGAAAUAAAUUUAUACACCUCGCGUAUGUCAAUAAAAUAGCAAUCCCUCAUAUACAGAACAUACAUCCAAUUGAUAAAUGUAAAGCUGAUCUUCAACAUCGUUGAGACUUCCAUAAUAACGGCUCCACAACUCAAACAAAUAGCUACAACAUCAAUUUAUUUGUUCAAAAAAAUUCUUUACUGAUAUUUUACGCUAAGAAAAACAUCAGGCAAUUUCUAUUCAGGGACGGUCUAUAUUUUUUUCAACAGAGAUCACUAAGAUAUUUUGCUUAUAAUUUAGUAGGCUGAAAAAGAUUUCUUACCAUUAUUAUAUAUAUUUUGUCAUCCUUAGCAUUGUAAUAUAGAACCACUAAAUAUUCAAUCGAUAUACAAUUUUAAUGAAAUAUUAACAGCGUCAUAACUCUUAACAAGUGAUGGACAACAUAGAGAAAGAGAGUGUCACUUAAUACUUCUUAAAUCUGUACAAAUAUUUUUUUGUUCAUAGAAAGUAGAAAUUUCGAAAAAUCACUACCUUUAUUGGUAAAGUUUCCAUUUAACAUAAGAUUUGAUCACUCAUGUGUCUGCGACUUGUCUUAAGUGAGUCUGAACAUUGCUUCAACACUACUACUACUAAAAAGAAUAAAUGACCACAAUUUGAAUUCGACCACCAAUUUAGGAUCCGAAUGUUUACAACCACCCGUUCCGCACCGCAGUUAACAAUAACAAAAAAUCUCUACAUAUAUCAUAUAUCUAUACGUUUUUAUAACUGUUAGAACCGCACCGCAGUUGAACCGCUUGUCCCGCACCGCUGAAACCGCAGUUACUAUUCGGAGCCUUAAUUAUCUAAUACCAAACGUCCAUCCGUAGAUUCACAAAAUUAACACUUAUAUUUUUUUCUUACAAAUAUCAACCAUUAUACUACACAAUUAACAAAUAUCCCGCGCGUAGCACAGGCAAGCCACUAGUAAUAUAUAAUUUUGGAUUAUUAAAUAUUGCUUAAAUGUUAUUGGAUAACAAAAUACAUGACUUUUGAUUGGAUGGAAAUACGGCCGGCAAAUUAAUUUUUAAAAAAAUCUAAAAAAGUAAUAAAUUGCCAUUGUAAAUAAUUCUAAAACUAAGGGCAGAAGAAUCCUAGGAGGGAUUUUGCUUUAAUAGUAGGGGAAAUUACAUGUUUACCAAUUUCAUGCUACAACUUUUCAGUUUUACAAUCACUAAAGGGACAAUUAUGACCUUGUUCUUUAUAUAUACUAGGAAACAAAUCCGCGCAUUCGCGCGGACAGUCAAAAUCCUUUACUAAAAACUAAAUUAUUUAAUAUUCAUAAAUUGUAUAUAUUUAAUAAUUAUAUAUAUAAUACUUUUUUAUUUUUUCAUUUAAAUACUGAAUAUAUUAGCUUAAAAUAAAAAAUUCAACAACAUAAGGAAAAGGAUGUAAAAUGUAUAUAACAAAUUAAAUAUAAAUUGACUUUUGAAUUUAUAGAACAAUAGAUAUACAUUUUUAUUAGUAAUAUCGGUUGAGACAAUGGUAAAGACUGGCUAGACAAGAAGUUCAUCUUCAGUAUUAGGAAUAUCAACCUUUUGUUUAAUCUUUGCGGAUUCUUUAAUCUACGGGACAGCUGUCUCAACACAAAUUUUUUUUUUGAUUCUGUAAUGUAGAAAUUAAAAUUAAUUCCUCUCUUGCGUGUUUACUAUUUCACUGCCAAGGCAUUUAUCGGAGUCAAUCGUAUUCUAUAAAUAUGAUAUUUAUCUAGUAUGAUCAACUGGAUGAAGCAGAGGACAUAUAGUCAUGGACUAAAGCAAGCUAUGAAAAGUAACUGCUUACAGACUACCAAGAUAUAUGAUAUAUGAGAUCGAUGAUAUCGAUGAAGUUUUUUUUUUUUUUUCAAACUUACAACUUUAUUAUAUCGAUGAAGUUUAUUUUCAAAUCUUUCUUUUAAAAGUUUGGGAGCCCUUCAUCUCAACAAGUAUUUUAUAGAGGACUCAGUUUCAGGUCUUGACAUUGGCAUAACAAAAAGGCAUCCUUGUCGCAGCAAAGCCCAUAUACAGUGAUAAAAUAGUAGAUUCACUUUGUAUUUUUCUUACCUAUAAUCGGUAUUUUUAGCAUGUGCAAUCAUCUAAUAAAUGCUACUUGGGUGUCAUCCUUGUCUUGUUGUGCAGUUUCCUAAUGUUCCUCGCCAAGGAUUUGAUUCAGAGUAUAAUUCUUACCAAUAAAUGUAAAUCUCUUAAUUUAGACUUUGAUCUCUAGGCAUUUUCUUGAAUUAGAUGGGGUAUGCCCUUUUUUUUUCUUGACCAAACCAUAUUUUCAUUACUACUUUAAAUCCAAGGUUUAAGGAGCAUACAAAGCUGAUUUAGCAAAAGAAUCAACUUCAAAAAAUCUUUUCACAAAAAUAAACCACUUAAAUAAUACACCAGUUGAAAUACAUAUAAUGUUUUUAAUGUACAUAAAAAUAAAGUAAUAGUUUUAAAUUAAAGAAUUUGAAAAUGUGUCAAAAGGACAAAGGAAAUAUCAUAUGUUGUUUUGGUAACUUAAAACAAAAAGUUCUUUGUGAUUAUACUAACAAUUAAUUAAAUCUAACGCAUGUAACAAAAAUGAGGAUAGUUUAACAUCUCAAUUUAAAAAUACCAUAAAUGAAACAAUUGUUUUAACUUUUGUCAAAUAUUAGGUUACACAAAUCUCUUUUUAUGAUAAGUAAAGUUUAUGUUUUAUCAAAACUAAGAUACAUAAAUAUAAAAAGAAAUUCUAAUGUUUGUAUGUGAUUCUUCAAAAGUCUUCUAUGAUCAUUUAGAUCUUAAAGUAGUUACAAUGGUUAUUUUUAAAAAAUUGUAAUGAUUUUUAUAAAUAGUUAUAAAUCUUCAUCUAAGCAAUUGCAAUGAUUCAUUUAGAUGAUUUUAUCCAUUAAAUCUGCAACAGAACAUUCUAUGUUCUCAGCCUUUUGUUUUGCUUAAAUAUGAUGAUUUUAUUCAAGACCGUUGGAAUUUGAAUAAUAUGGUACUGAAUAAUGUUUAUAUAUCUUUACUUAUCACAUAAUUUGUAUACUAUGGUACUGUAUAUUAGCGACAAUUGUUUGAAAGUAAGAUUCAUAUUUUUCAAUAGCUUUAAUUAAACUAUCUUGAAAAUUUUAUUAUUUUCAAAAUUUUAAGAUAUCUUGUUUGAAAGUAAGAUUCAUAUUUUUCAAUAGCUUUAAACUAUCUUGAAAAUUUUAUUAUUUUCAAAAUUUUAAGAUAUAAUGAAAUUUUUUAUCAAAAUUUUGAUUUGAGAGCGUUUUGAAAAUUGAAGUUAGGAGAAAAUGUUGUACAAAUUGUAAUAUAUAGAGUUGAAAAAUAUUAGUUUAUAAACUCUUCAAGAAAAAAGCAGUUAUAAAAGAAAGAAAAAUAUAAUUUAUAGCCAAAAAAAACAUUAUCUUCAAUAAAAUUAGUGAAGUAAGUUUUAACUUUUUUAAUUUUUGAAAGUAAGUUUUGAUAAAGAGUCACAUUUGUAAAAACCAUUUGCUGGGAUUCUUUGAUUGUGUUUUUUUUUAACACUUAGAAAAACUGAGAAACAGACAACAAGAUACCAGCAGGUACCGUAGAGAUCUAAAGAGAAACAUGAAAGAACUAAGCCAAAAGAAACAAGAUGGCAAUUAAAGGUGCCACUGGCACAUAUCCCCUGAGCCAGCCAAUGGAAUAGAAAAUUAGACACCUGCCUCCUGUUGGAUAGCUUGAUGAAGCCAGCAAGGUCCACCAGCGGGUGACAUAAGAUUGCGUACAGAAGUAUGAGACCACACUAUCUGCAAUCGCUGUUGCUACAUUAUUUUUAUGGUCAAGCACGUGGAAUCAGACCAUUCAUCAAAACGGUGUGUCGGUGCAGCAACUCAAGGAUUUUUGUAGAAAGUGAUAAGAGUUCAGGAUAGCUGUAUGGAUCCAGAAGUGACUGUCUCACCUCCGCAGAAGAAACUUCAAACAGAAUUUUUCGUUGCUUCAGAUAAUCAGGUUGCCCAUCUCUUCCACAGCCCACAACAUAGCCUUUAAGUUUGACUCCUGUUUAGAUAGGGGAGAACAGAAAGCACGGCGGCUAUGGUCAAGCGGACGGCACUGACUAUCUCUUGUAACCCAGCUAGCACCCCUCAGAGGUCCAGAGCUAUCCCAAGCCAUGCCAACAUUGCAUUUGAUAAAACAAGGGGAGACUUUUCCCAAGAGUUGUGUGAAGACGGCUUGUUUCCAAAGCCGCAGCCUGAUUAUUCUCAUUGUAGUUAACCAUAUACCAAAUAUCUCCCUCUUCCAGCGACUUAGAGAUGCAUGAAGCAGAGGAGAUUCGGCUUUUCUCAAACACCAAAGCAUUUCUCCCUUUCCAAAGGUUCCAGAGUAUCCAAGGGAAGGACUUAAUAUUACCAUAAUCUGUCCUCUGUUUUUUUUUUGUGCUUGCUACCAGAUAGGAAGGUUCAGAAAGAUAGAUGACUGCGAAAAACCAGAGGGAGGAGGCUCUAUUUGUUCCAGACGCCGGGCUUCCACUGCUGUAGGACAGUGAACAGGACAUGAAAAAUCGUUUCCAAGGCUUGACAACACGCAUGACAAAUUGUGUUUGACCAUUCAUAAUUCAAAAGCACAUAAUAUUCACUAAUACACAGGUACAAUAUAAAAAGUAGAGUUAUUAUAUUUAUAUUUGUAGUUUACUAAUUUAUAACAGUAUAAAUGUUUUUCCUAGAAACUUACUGAUGAAGUCUCCCACUUCUUUUUCAAGUCCUCACCACUUAAACGCACGCACAGGCACAGAUGAAUGGUGCACUUGAGGAUGCUGUUGAGUCUGUGAUAGUCUAUAGUAAUUGUUCUGGUCCUCCUAACAAUCCCUCAUUUACAAAUUCUUAGCGAUCUAGACCACCUUUUGAAACCUUAAUUAAAAAUGAUGUAUGCAGAAUGUAACAGACAUCAUACAUAUGACGUUACGUAAUCCCAUCUUAACAAGCCUGAAUAUAAAAAUUUUAUAUAAAAGGUAUUAAUUUCCUAAACCAUUAGAUGAUCAGCGCACUGUCUGUACGGUGAUGCUGGAUCUGCUUUACAAUCAAAAAAAUCUGAAUCGCACUGCAGUGUAUAAAUAUUCAAUAGACAUCAUGAUUGAGUUCUUCUGAAUCGUGGAUCCUACACAGAUUAAUCAAACAAUGAAUGGGAAGCGUCUGAAAUCAUCAGAAAAGGAAAAAAGGAGAAAGGAAAAAUGAACUAAAGCGGAAAAAAUUACACUGGAUUUGGAUGCGGAGGAGAGAGAGAGAUAAGAAGCAUAGAAAACUUGAAACAAAUCUGCAACUCGAUACAAUCUCUUCAAUAUAUAAACUUCUGAACAGUUACAAGAAAAUGAUGACGGUUCCACAGAAGAUCUAGAAGAUCUGAGUGUGAAAAGAUACAACCUUUAAGGAAAAAACAGAUGAUCUGUUUAAGAGACGCCUGUGAGGAGGUAUGAUGAAGCCGUCGAUUGCUAUAGUAAAUCUAGUACGUCAUUCUUUUGUUUCUAAACAAAACCUUAACCAUUAAAUUAUAUCACAGACACGAUUCUCACCAUUAGAUUUUGAUUUUUUUUCCUAUAAUAAAUUGAUGAUGUCAUCAGUUAGAUAAAAAAGAUUUGCUAUUAUAUAUAGAUAAUAAAUAUAUACUAUUUCUAAAUUCAAACCCUAAACCCUAAAACUCAAUUCUAAACCCUAAAUCAUCAAUCAUAAACCAUAUUUUAUUUUGAAAUAUGAACCCUAAACCCUAAACCAUCAACACUAAACCAUAAAUUUUCAACACUAAAACCUAAACCCUAAAAAGUAAACUCUAAACCCUAAAAAGAAAACUCUAAACCCUAAACCCUAAAAUUCAACCCUAAACCCUAAACCAUCAACACUAAACCAUAAAUUUUCAACACUAAAACCUAAACCCUAAAAAGUAAACUCUAAACCCUAAAAAGAAAACUCUAAACCCUAAACCCUAAAAAAUUGCCCCUAAACCCUAAAACAUCUAACUCUAAACCCUAAACCUUCAACUUAAAACCUAAACCCUAAAUCCUAAACCCUAAACCCUAAACCCUAAACCCUAAAACCGUAGAGUUGAUGUUUUAGGGUUUAGAUUUGAAGGUUUAGGGGUUUAGGGUUUACAGUUUACAUUUAGGGUUUAGAGUUGAUUUUUAAGGUUUAGAUUUGAAGGUUUAGGGCUUAGGGUUCAAAUUUCAGUUUAGAUUUGAAGGUUUAGGGUUUAAAGUUAAUGUUUCGGGGUUUAGGGUUUAGAGUUGAUGUUUCAUGGUUUAGAGUUUAGAGUUGAUGAUUUAGGGUUUAAAGUUGAUGUUUUAAGUUUAGAUUUAGGGUCUAGGGUUUACGUUUAGGGUUUAGGGUUUAGGGUUUAGGGUUGAUGUUUUAAGUUAAAUUAGUUAACAAUAUGUUUUCUUUUUGUCAAAGUUAAUCAAAAAGUUAUAAAUGUCUUUUACCCUUCAUUGAAGAUGAAAAGUGUUACUUUGAAAAUAGUAUUUUUGCAAUUUCCCUAAAUAUAUAUUAGGAAAAAUUACAUGUUUACCACUUUCAUGCUACUAUUUUUCAUUUUUACCACCACUAAAGAGACAUUUUCAAAAAUAUGCCAUUAUACUUUAUAUAUAUAAUAAAUAAAAAUUUAAAUAAAUAAAAAUCAAAAAAAUAAAAAAUAAUUUUUAAAUUUUUUUUCGAAUUAUACUAUUUCGAAAUUCAAACCCUGAACCCUACAACUCAACUCUAAACCCUAAACCACCUAUCAUAAACUCUAUUUUUUUGAAAUACAAACCCUAAACCAACUCUAAACCCUAAACCCUAAACCUUCAACUCUAAACCCUAAAACAUCAACUAUAAACCCUAACCUUCAACUCUAAACCUUAAACCAUCAACACUCUAAAAUAUCAACACUAAACCCUAAACCUUAAAAAGUAAACUCUAAACCCUAAACUCUAAAAAAUUAACCCUAAACCCCGAAACAUCAACUCUAAACCCUAAACCCUAAAAUGUAAACUCUAAACCCUAAACCCUUAAAAAUUAACCCUAAACCCUGAAACAUCAACUCUAAACCAUAAACCUUCAACUAUAAACCUUAAAACAUCAACUAUAAACCCUAAACCCUAAACUUCAACUCUAAACCCUAAACUAUCAACUCUAAACCCUAAACCCUAAAAAGUAAACUUUAAACCCUAAAAAAUUAACCCUAAACCCUGAAACAUCAACUCUAAACCCUAAACCUUCAACUCUAAACCAUAAACCUUAAAUCCUAAACCCUAAAACCCUAGAGGUGAUGUUUUAGGGUUUAGAGUUGAAGGUUUAGGGUUUCAGGGUUUAGGGUUUACAUUUAGGGAUUAGAGUUGAUGUUUUAGGGUUUAGAUUUGAAGGUUUAGGGUUUAAGGGUUUAGGGUUUGAAUUUCAGAAAAAUAUCGGGUUUAAGGUUAAGGGUUUAUGUUUAAGGUUUAUGUUUAGGGCUUAGAGUUGAUGUUUUAGGGUUUAGAUUUGAUGGUUUAGAGUUUAGGGUUUAGAGUUGAUGUUUUGGGGUUUAGGGUUUAGAGUUGAUGUUUCAUGAUUUAGGGUGUAGAGUUGAUAAUUUUGGUUUUAAAGUUGAUGUUUUAAGUUUAGGGUUUACGGGUUUAGAGUUGAUGUUUUAGGGUUUAGAUUUGAAGAUUUAGGGUUUAGAGUUUAGAAUUGAUGUUUCGGAGUUUAGGGUUUAGAGUUGAUAUUUCAUGGCUUAGGAUUUAGAGAUUAGAGUUGAUGUUUCAUGGUUUAGAUUAGUUAACCAUAUGUUUUUUUUGUCAAAGUUAAUCAAAAAGGUUAUAAUUGUCUUUUAUCCUUCAUUAAAAUUGAAGGUAAAAAUGAUUAGUGUAAACAUGAAAAGUGGUACUUUGAAAAUGAUAUUUUUGGCAAUUUCCCUAUAUAUUAAGACAAAUAAUUUAACUACAAUUUGGUCGAUAGUGAAAGAAGCAUUAAAAAAAAGAAUAUUUUAACUUCCAAAAAAUUAGAUAUUUCAGUUGUGGUAAAUACUCAAUUAUAAGGUGCUCACGUCAAUUUGCAUCUGUAUGUGUAUGUAAAACUAUAUAAAGAUGGUUGAUAAAUAUAUGAGAAAAUUACAUGUUUACCACUUUCAUGCUACUACUUUUCAUUUUUACCAUUAAAUGAACAUUUUCAAAAAUAUCUUCUUCAUUAAGUGGCAAAAGACUUUUAUGUCUCUUGUUCUUUAUAUAUAUAAUAAAUAAAUAUUCAAAUAAAUAAAAAUAUAAAAAAAUAAAAAAUAUUUUUUUAAAAUUUUUUUUAGAAUUAUACUAUUUCGAAAUUCAAACCUUAAACCCUAAACCAUCAAUCAUAAACUUUUUUUUUUUGAAAUAUGAACCCUAAACCCUNNNNNNNNNNNNNNNNNNNNNNNNNNNNNNNNNNNNNNNNNNNNNNNNNNNNNNNNNNNNNNNNNNNNNNNNNNNNNNNNNNNNNNNNNNNNNNNNNNNNNNNNNNNNNNNNNNNNNNNNNNNNNNNNNNNNNNNNNNNNNNNNNNNNNNNNNNNNNNNNNNNNNNNNNNNNNNNNNNNNNNNNNNNNNNNNNNNNNNNNNNNNNNNNNNNNNNNNNNNNNNNNNNNNNNNNNNNNNNNNNNNNNNNNNNNNNNNNNNNNNNNNNNNNNNNNNNNNNNNNNNNNNNNNNNNNNNNNNNNNNNNNNNNNNNNNNNNNCAACCAUAAUACAUAAUAACUCAAACUUAAAAUAAAAACAAAAAAAAACUAAAUUUAAUGCAUGAUUGAUGAUAUGUUUGAGUUAUCCAUGAGUUAGAAGCUUAACUCAAACUAAAUCAAUGUUACCACAUGUUAUAGAAUACACCGAAUGAAUAUAUUAUUAAGUAUGUGAAAUUUAUUUAUACAUCAGUACAUGUAGGGUUAUUAACAAUACUAAGUAAUUGCAAAGAGAUCCUUUGAGUAUAUAUUAUUUACUUAACAUGCCCCCUCAAGAUGGUGGUGUUGUGGUAACACCAAUCUUGGACCUUGAAGACUGAAAAGGAGCUCGUGCGAGUGGCUUAGUCAGACCAUCAGUGAGCUAAUCAUGUGUAGAGACGUGUUGCACACGUAGACGGUGAUUCUGUAUCUGGCCGCGGACAAAGUGAUAAUCAAGGGCUAUAUGUUUCAUCCUAGAGUGGAAAACUGGAUUGGCGCAAAGAUAGGUGGCGCCAAGGUUGUCACAGUACGCGGUUUGAGUUGCAGUAACAGGCACGCCAAGCUCAAGAAGAAGAGAGACUACCCAGCUAAGCUCGGAUGCAGUGUUCGCAACUGCGCGAUAUUCCGCUUCUGUUGAGGAGCGAGUCACGCCUUUUUGCUUCUUUGUUGACCAUGAAACAGGCUGAGAACCCAAGAAGAUGAGAUAUGCAUUUGUUGAUACGUAAUCAUCGGAGUCUCCAGCCCAGUCCACGCCAGAAUAGGCAUGAAGAGUUGAUGUUUGCUGUUUACACAACAUUAUUCCAUGAUCAAGAGUACCAUAGAGAUAGCGAAGGACUUGUUUAACUGCUUGCCAGUGAUCUGAAGUAGGACAGUGCAUAUACUGUGAGAGUUUAUUGACAGCGUAUGACACACCAGGGCGUGUUAGAGCAAGGUACAGGAGGCUACCGACGAUCCUGCGAUAGGGCUGCGGAUCAGCUAGUGGCGAACCAGAGUUGAGUGUGAGCUUUGAAUGAGUAGGAAGCAGAGUUGCAACCGGCUUAGGAUGUAGCAUGUCCGCUUUCUCAAGAAGAUCGGUAAUGUACUUCCUUUGUUUGAGAUGUAAGCCUUGUGAUGUACGAACAACUUCAAUGCCUAGAAAAUAACUCAGGUUGCCCAUAUCCUUGAUAGAGAAUCAAGUAGCAAGAGAGGAGUUGACUUGUUGAACCAGGUUCGAAUCACUGCCAGUGACUAAGAUGUCAUCAACGUAUACCAAGACAUAGACAAACUUCGCUUGUUGCUUGUAGAUAAACAGUGAUGUGUCCGCCAAAGAGUUAUGAAAUCCAGACUGAAUCAGAUAGGACUUAAGCUCAGAGUACCAAGCACGCAAUGCUUGUUUUAAACCAUAGAGUGCCUUGCAAAGCCGGCAAACAUGAUUGGGUUGAUCCUUAUCAGUGAAGCCCGGAGGUUGUGACAUGAAGACUUCUUCAUUGAGAUGCCCUUGGAGAAAAGCCGUGUGUUGACAUCUAUCUGUCUAACCGGCCAUUCAUUGUUAACCGCCAAGCCUAGAACAAUCCUGAUCGUUGUAGAUUUAAUGACUGGACUAAAGAUGUCCUCAUAAUCAACGCCUUGUUGCUGAUGAUAUCCUCUAGCAACAAUACGAGCUUUGUAGCGAUCGAUGGUUCCAUCAGAGUUAUACUUGAUAGUAAAUACCCAGCGACAGCCAACCACAUUCAUAGUUUUAGUAACCUCAACCAAAUCCCAAGUCGAGUGCUCAGAAGUAGAAUUGAAUUCUUUGGACAUUACAUCACGCCAGUGUUUAUGUUUCAUGGCCUAUUGCCAAGUAGAUGGAAUCCAGUGGGGAUCGGCCUGCAAGCUUGCAGUAAGGUUGUAUCGAGCAACUGGUUUGACAAUGUUGUUCUUGGAACGUGUGGUCAUUUGAUGCCGAGGCUCUGCAUGCUGUGGUUGUGUAGAAGCAGGUUGAGUAGCAACCAGCGGUUCAGAGGGCACUGGCAGAGACGUAGUGGUUGGAGCAGCAGAUGAGGACGAUGAAGCUUUUGUAGUCAUUGUGGUCUGUUGAUGUUGCUGUGUUGGUGAGGAAUCUCUGCUCGGUGAUCCAGCGGUCGCGGUCGCAGAAGGAGAUUGCAUAAGUGGUGGCGUGUAGGGUAUAACAGUUACGGGUUGUGAGGCAGAAGGAUGAGGAGGCUCAGAAGAUUCAGUAGUUGCUGGAGUGGUUAACGUGGGGAAGGGAUACUCUGUUUCAUUGAAGCGUACAUGAAGAGACGUAUAUAUCAUCGUCUCCAAAGAAUGUAAACAAAUAACAGAUAGAGAUCACGUACCUGACCCAUACAGUGGGCAAUAUCGAGAUACUCAUCUCGGUUAGUCAGGUCCUUGAGCGCUGGAAGGGGACAUCCCACGCUCUUCAGGUGCCUCAUUAUCGCAGCUAGGCCCCAAGAGUCAUCCAGGAUCGACCCAGGCUUCGAAUGGGUAAAGCUCCACCCAACAGUCCCUCCUCUAGAGGACGAGGAAGAAGAACGGAUGGAAGCUCCGCCCUGAUCGGUCCUGGGCCUCUUGUGUCUCGACGGCUCGAUCUCAGAGGUACCCUUCGGAGCCUGGUAGUCAGCCUCCGGCACCUGGACCUCAGGGAGAGGAGCAGCAUCCUGAGCUACAACCUCAGUUGGAGUAGUCUCGACAACAGGUUUGGAUCCUCCGUCGUCCAAAACUUCCUUCAUUGAGAUAAGGAACGAUCCUCCUUGGUUCCUGUCGCUUCCACGAGAAGCACUGGCAGCUUUAGAGGGGUUACCCCUAGAACGGAAUGACGGUCGCAGAGUCAUGUCACCUGGCUGAGACUUUUCAGUUCCCGAAGCACUAGCACCAGUUGAGAUCGAUACAACCGAAUCGCCUGCCGAAACUGGAACAAUGGAAAUCCUUAAGUUUAAAAACUUCAAAGCGAUAAAAUCAUUGAAAAGGUUCGAACAAGAACUUACUCUCAAGGUUCUCAGUAGGAAUGGGAUCUUGGAAAGAGGCGUUGUAGGUAUCUGGGAAUCUGGCUGCACUUAUUCGAGAAGUGGUGUAGGCCACCCAGGUACAGGGACUCUGUUGCAACUUGCGGUAUAGAGCCCUGGUGAGCUUGGUAGAGAGCUUCGGGGGAUCUUCGAUUUCUGCAAGUAAAUCAGAGCAAAAGGAUAGGAUCAUACAUUGAUACAUUUAGAUGCGAUUACUGCGGGUCAAAUCUAUUCCUUAAUGUCGGUGUUUACUAAUCAAAUGAUAGAAAACAUAGAACUUAGGAGUUGACAUGUCCAUUAGCCAUCAACAGAAACAUGUGCACUUCACCAAAAUUUCUUAAUACAACCAAAUAAAUCAUAUGACGACCCCCAUGAUCUCGCCUUCUCUCAUCUAGCUAUAUAUAUUCCAUAAAUUACGUAUGUAAGCACGUACACACAUCCAACAGUAUCUGAAUAGAUUAGUGCUGUUGGCCAAUGAUUUUAGGAUCUGACAAUUUAGAAUAUUUCAGUGACUUUCAUUUCACACAAACAAUCCAUUUCAGAUUAUUUGGUGAGAAGUUUCGCUCAAAGAUUUAUCAGAUUAAUUAAAUGGACACUACGUCAUACCAACACUGUGAAAUUUAAACUAGAUGUAUGUAUACUAUGUAAUUUGGAUGAUUCGGCUAAAUUAAAACUUUCACAAUCGCAAGUUUCAGUCUCUGUGGGAAGAGAAGUGGUGGUGGCAGUGAGGUCACAUGGAGAGCCCACAAAUAACAUAAGAAAAUGAUUAUCCGGGAUUCUUAGUGGGUUUUUUAGUGCGUGGGCCACCACAAAAUCCUUAAGGAUCGGUUACAAAAACUACUAAUUAAGAACCGAUCUUAGUGAGUUUCUUACACUGUUCGCAGGUCCCACUGACACGUGGCGGCCCGCGAUUGGUUUGCUUUUUAAUUUUUUUUUUUUUUUUAAAAAAAAACUAAGAAACCCAAAAACUAAGAAAUCCAUUGGGUUUUUUAGGGAUAAUCAUGGCCUUAGAUGCCUUGAAGAAAGACCGAGCAUGUAUGGAACCCUCACCUGUCUUGUCAAAUCCGCUCCGUCUCUAAAAAAAAAAAAAACCAACAACAACCUAUUGGCGGACUAUCUAUUAGCAUCAGUAUCUAUUUGCAUGGACACGGAAACUACAUGCAAUGCCGUCCCAUAAUUUGGGAUGACCUAAAGCACAAAAAAAAUUGUGUGGCCUAUUAUAUAAAUACCAACAAUAUAUAGCAAUACACUAACAUCAAACCAGUACAAAAGUGUAAAAAGUAAUCAAAUGGUUAAAAUAAAAACUAUAUUGGACAAAAGGGGGAUCGAACUAUGGUAUCCUAACUCAAUUCAAACUUGUUAACGAUUAGACCUAGCUAAUAUUUGGUGAUAUGUGGCCUUAAUUUUUCUUCUAUAUAUUGUGGCCUAAAGCAUAUGCUCUAGUUGCCUUAUGGCAGGGACGGGCCUGACUACAUGAAAUCAAUGUCGAAAGACAUCAAUAAAGUCAAUGCACUGAGCGUAUGUGAAAAUCCUCCAUUGUUACUUAACAACACUCGCAAGGACAUAUGCCACAGUAACCUAUCUCCCCCAACAACAUAAAAGAAAAAUGCGACCAAUCUUACUAUUACAAACAAAUAAAAUAAAUGAUAUAUUUCAUAUAAAACCUACUCUACAAAAUUUUAUAUUUUAUGCUUCAACUAUUAGUCAUUCAAUUUGUUUAUUCAAAAAAUAUAAACGUUAUUUCACUACUUUGAAAUAAAUUUAUACACCUCGCGUAUGUCAAUAAAAUAGCAAUCCCUCGUAUACAGAAUAUACAUCCAAUUGAUAAAUGUAAAGCUGAUCCUCAACAUCGUUGAGACUUCCAUAAUAACGGCUCCACAAUUUAAACAAAUAGCUACAACAUCAACUUAUUUGUUCAAAAAAAUUCUUUACUGAUAUUUUACGCUAAGAAAAACAUCAGACAAUUUCUAUUCAGGGAUGGUCUAUAUUUUUUUCAACGGAGAUCACUAAGAGAUUUUGCUUAUAAUUUAGUAGGCUGAAAAAGAUUUCUUCCCAUUAUUAUAUAUACUAGGGACAUUGCCCCCGCGCAAGCGCGGGGUUGUGGACAAAGUUCUUGUUUCAUCUCAAUAUUUUUGCUAGGGUUAUUGUAGUUGUGAAUUUUGCGUUUUGAGUUGUUUUUCAAGUUUUUUUUAUUGUUGUUAUAGGGUUAGAGUUGUGAUGAUAAACUGUGUAUGCAUUGUUCUCCACUUAUGAAGGACUAAACUGUGUUAGUAAUGUGAUUGAUAUAAUUCGUGUUGUUGUUUGUUGUGUCACUGAAACUUAUUGUUUGUUUGUCUUUUUAAUUUGUUUCUUGUACUGUUGAGAGUACAUAAAUUAUAUUAAAGUUGUUGAAAAUACUUUUUGUUUCUGGAUAUUUUUUCUCCAGUUUAGUCGUGUAAGUUGUGUGUAUUAAGUAAUAAUUUUUAUUAUCCUUAUUAUGUUUGUAAUAUUUUUUUAUUUUAUUUUUAAACUUGUUGCUCUUAUUGGACCUUUAAAACAAAUACAUGAAGACUUGUAGAAAUAACUAUAAGAUGAGUGACAGUUCUGAGUAUUUGGGCUUUAAUGAGUUUUAAACGAAUUUAUGUAUUUUUCAUAAGAAGAUAAUAGCAUUGGCCUGUUGACAUUGGACAUGUAAGCUAUUUUUAUAAGACAAGAGGAGUGAGCAGGUGGAGCUGUUGUUGCCACCUUUGUGUCUGUCGGGAUUGUCUCUUGUAUCUCUUGUUGUGGCUGUGUUUGUUUAUUUUUUAUUUGAUGGGGAAUAUGUGAACAAAAAUCAUUGUUAGUUGUAUUUAUCAUAGUUCAUAACUUACUUUGCUUUUUUGUUUAGUAAUUUCAUUGAUCUUGGUUGUCGUAUUCGUCUUUUUCGUUGCAAAAGUAAGUUUGUAAAUUGUUAAAUAGCUGACCGUGUAGUUUGUAUUUGUUUAACUGACUCGAUGUAUGUGUCGUUGCGAAAGUAAGUUUGUAAAUUGUUAAAUAGCUGGCCGUGUAGUUUGUAUUUGUUUAGAUGACUCGAUGUAUGUGUCGUUGAGUUUUAGUUGAAAUGAUUAGUUUGGCAUAUUUGUUUUGAAGUUUAUUUCUAAGAUUAGACAAAAAGGAGAGGUGAUCAUUAAUGAUUCGUCUUUUUUGGAAUUCUAGUUUUUGAUGUUUUGAUUGUUUGGGUUGUUGUGGUUUCUUUUAAGCUGUAAAAUAAAGAUUUGUGUAAAAUUAGUUUGAUAAGUAAGAGAGAAAAAUAGACGACCACAGAAUUUGGGUAGGAAAUAUUUUUGAUUAUUGAUGUUAGCACAAUAUAGAUAAUAGUAUAAAGAGAAUUGUGUGUUGAUUGUUUCUUACGGAUCAAUUAGGAGAUGGAUAACGACUCUAGUUGUUUCUUUGCUAAGGUCAGAGCCUUGGACAGAACGGAUUUGCCCAACUACAUCUGCGAGUUUAAAUAUCAUUUAUGAUAACAAAACAUAUUAUAAACUCAGAUGCAAUAUAAUAAUAUACCUGAGAGUUCUAGGUUUGUGUUCGCAAUGGCUUGGAAAUUGUCAAAUCGUCUAAUUAUGAUUGGAGAUUGAUCUCAGGAGCACCCGUGAUGACUUCAUCAAUAAUAGUACUUCAUCAAUAAUAGUUGGUGAAAUGAAACAAAUGAGGAAUGUAUGAUCAAUUAUCUUGUACAUGCUUGAGCAUCUAGCAACCUCAAAACGAUCGACUUUCAGUCUUUCACAAUGGAACUGGCUUUCAAAGAUGGCAUGUAAUGAUUAGCACGUCCGGCGGGAAUAAACCCAUGAAUCACAGAAUCUGCAAAUAAUAUUAUUUAACAAAGAAUCAGGAAAUCAAUUAAAAAUAAUUAUAUUAAAUAAGUGUGAUAAAUCGAAGAUUAACUUACCUUUUCAUCAAGGAAGAGAACCGUGAUUCGCAUAAACUCAAUGUCUUUCUUGAAGUUCAGAGAAUUCCAUAAGCGCGGAGGUUAGAGGCUAUGCUCUGACUACUACGACCAACACGGAGAGACUCGAAGGUUGAGUGACGGAUGCCGGAAACGCCGGUUUGAGGAACUGAAGAGGCAGAAAGACAUUUUCUAGAAGAUCCUUAAAGCUAAGAGGAAUCAAUGAGUUUUGUGGAGAUGCAAAUUGGGUUCAUCAAAGAUGAUAAUCAUAUAUAUAGGGUUUAAAGAAAGGCUACAAAUCAGGAACAUUUAAGAUCAAGCGAUUUAAGAUGGGGAGAUAAAGAGUUCACCGGUGAAAAAAUAGAUUACGAACAGACACACAGCGCNNNNNNNNNNNNNNNNNNNNNNNNNNNNNNNNNNNNNNNNNNNNNNNNNNNNNNNNNNNNNNNNNNNNNNNNNNNNNNNNNNNNNNNNNNNNNNNNNNNNNNNNNNNNNNNNNNNNNNNNNNNNNNNNNNNNNNNNNNNNNNNNNNNNNNNNNNNNNNNNNNNNNNNNNNNNNNNNNNNNNNNNNNNNNNNNNNNNNNNNNNNNNNNNNNNNNNNNNNNNNNNNNNNNNNNNNNNNNNNNNNNNNNNNNNNNNNNNNNNNNNNNNNNNNNNNNNNNNNNNNNNNNNNNNNNNNNNNNNNNNNNNNNNNNNNNNNNNNNNNNNNNNNNNNNNNNNNNNNNNNNNNNNNNNNNNNNNNNNNNNNNNNNNNNNNNNNNNNNNNNNNNNNNNNNNNNNNNNNNNNNNNNNNNNNNNNNNNNNNNNNNNNNNNNNNNNNNNNNNNNNNNNNNNNNNNNNNNNNNNUUUAGGGUUUAAAGUUUAUACUACACAAUUAACAAAUAUCCCGCGCGUAGCGCGGACAAGCCACUAGUAAUAUAUAAUUUUGGAUUAUUAAAUAUUGCUUGAAUGUUAUUGGAUAACAAAAUACAUGACUUUUGAUUGGAUGGAAAUACGGCCGGCAAAUUAAUUUUUAAAAAAAUCUAAAAAAGUAAUAAAUUGCCAUUGUAAAUAAUUCUAAAACUAAGGGUAGAAGAAUCCUAGGAGGGAUUUUGCUUUAAUAGUAGGGGAAAUUACAUGUUUACCAAUUUCAUGCUACCACUUUUCAGUUUUACAAUCACUAAAGGGACACUUAUGACCUUGUUCUUUAUAUAUACUAGGAAACAAAUCCGCGCAUUCGCGCGGGCAAUCAAAAUCCUUUACCAAAAACUAAAUUAUUUAAUAUUCAUAAAUUGUAUAUAUUUAAUAAUUAUAUAUAUAAUACUUUUUUUAUUUUUUCAUUUAAAUACUGAAUAUAUUAGCUUAAAAUAAAAAAAUCAACAACAUAAGGAAAAAGAUGUAAAAUGUAUAUAACAAAUUAAAUAUAAAUUGACUUUUGAAUUUAUAGAACAAUAGAUAUACUUUUUUAUUAGUAAUAUCGGUUGAGACAAUGGUAAAGACUGGCUAGACAAGAAGUUCAUGUUCAGUAUUAGGAAUAUCAACCUUUUGUUUAAUCUUUGCGGAUUCUUUAAUCUACGGGACAGCUGUCUCGACACGAAUUUUUUUUUUCCUUCUGUAAUGUAGAAAUUAAAAUUAAUUCCUCUCUUGCGUGUUUACUAUUUCACUGCCAUGGCAUUUAUCGGAGUAAAUCAUAUUCUAUAAAUAUGAUAUUUAUCUAGUAUGAUCAACUGGAUGAAGCAGAGGACAUAUAGUCAUGGACUAAAGCAAGCUAUGAAAAGUAACUGCUUACAGACUACCAAGAUAUAUGAUAUAUGAGAUCGAUGAUAUCGAUGAAGUUUUUUUUUUUUUUUCAAACUUACAACUUUAUUAUAUCGAUGAAGUUUAUUUUCAAAUCUUUCUUUUAAAAGUUUGGGAGCCCUUCAUCUCAACAAGUAUUUUAUAGAGGACUCAGUUUCAGGUCUUGACAUUGGCAUAACAAAAAGGCAUCCUUGUCGCAACAAAGCCCAUAUACAGUGAUAAAAUAGUAGAUUCACUUUGUAUUUUUCUUACCUAUAAUCGGUAUUUUUAGCAUGUGCAAUCAUCUAAUAAAUGCUACUUGGGUGUCAUCCUUGUCUUGUUGUGCAGUUUCCUAAUGUUCCUCGCCAAGGAUUUGAUUCAGAGUAUAAUUCUUACCAAUAAAUGUAAAUCUCUUAAUUUAGACUUUGAUCUCUAGGCAUUUUCUUGAAUUAGAUGGGGUAUGCCCUUUUUUUUUCUUGACCAAACCAUAUUUUCAUUACUACUUUAAAUCCAAGGUUUAAGGAGCAUACAAAGCUGAUUUAGCAAAAGAAUCAACUUCAAAAAAUCUUUUCACAAAAAUAAACCACUUAAAUAAUACACCAGUUGAAAUACAUAUAAUGUUUUUAAUGUACAUAAAAAUAAAGUAAUAGUUUUAAAUUAAAGAAUUUGAAAAUGUGUCAAAAGGACAAAGGAAAUAUCAUAUGUUGUUUUGGUAACUUAAAACAAAAAGUUCUUUGUGAUUAUACUAACAAUUAAUUAAAUCUAACGCAUGUAACAAAAAUGAGGAUAGUUUAACAUCUCAAUUUAAAAAUACCAUAAAUGAAACAAUUGUUUUAACUUUUGUCAAAUAUUAGGUUACACAAAUCUCUUUUUAUGAUAAGUAAAGUUUAUGUUUUAUCAAAACUAAGAUACAUAAAUAUAAAAAGAAAUUCUAAUGUUUGUAUGUGAUUCUUCAAAAGUCUUCUAUGAUCAUUUAGAUCUUAAAGUAGUUACAAUGGUUAUUUUUUAAAAAUUGUAAUGAUUUUUAUAAAUAGUUGUAAAUCUUCAUCUAAGCAAUUGCAAUGAUUCAUUUAGAUGAUUUUAUCCAUUAAAUCUGCAACAGAACAUUCUAUGUUCUCAGCCUUUUGUUUUGCUUAAAUAUGAUGAUUUUAUUCAAGACCGUUGGAAUUUGAAUAAUAUGGUACUGAAUAAUGUUUAUAUAUCUUUACUUAUCACAUAAUUUGUAUACUAUGGUACUGUAUAUUAGCGACACUUGUUUGAAAGUAAGAUUCAUAUUUUUCAAUAGCUUUAAACUAUCUUGAAAAUUUUAUUAUUUUCAAAAUUUUAAGAUAUAAUGAAAUUUUUUAUCAAAAUUUUGAUUUGAGAGCGUUUUGAAAAUUGAAGUUAGGAGAAAAUGUUGUACAAAUUGUAAUAUAUAGAGUUGAAAAAUAUUAGUUUAUAAACUCUUCAAGAAAAAAGCAGUUAUAAAAGAAAGAAAAAUAUAAUUUAUAGCCAAAAAAAACAUUAUCUUCAAUAAAAUUAGUGAAGUAAGUUUUAACUUUUUUAAUUUUUGAAAGUAAGUUUUGAUAAAGAGUCACAUUUGUAAAAACCAUUUGCUGGGAUUCUUUGAUUGUGUUUUUUUUUAACACUUAGAAAAACUGAGAAACAGACAACAAGAUACCAGCAGGUACCGUAGAGAUCUAAAGAGAAACAUGAAAGAACUAAGCCAAAAGAAACAAGAUGGCAAUUAAAGGUGCCACUGGCACAUAUCCCCUGAGCCAGCCAAUGGAAUAGAAAAUUAGACACCUGCCUCCUGUUGGAUAGCUUGAUGAAGCCAGCAAGGUCCACCAGCGGGUGACAUAAGAUUGCGUACAGAAGUAUGAGACCACACUAUCUGCAAUCGCUGUUGCUACAUUAUUUUUAUGGUCAAGCACGUGGAAUCAGACCAUUCAUCAAAACGGUGUGUCGGUGCAGCAACUCAAGGAUUUUUGUAGAAAGUGAUAAGAGUUCAGGAUAGCUGUAUGGAUCCAGAAGUGACUGUCUCACCUCCGCAGAAGAAACUUCAAACAGAAUUUUUCGUUGCUUCAGAUAAUCAGGUUGCCCAUCUCUUCCACAGCCCACAACAUAGCCUUUAAGUUUGACUCCUGUUUAGAUAGGGGAGAACAGAAAGCACGGCGGCUAUGGUCAAGCGGACGGCACUGACUAUCUCUUGUAACCCAGCUAGCACCCCUCAGAGGUCCAGAGCUAUCCCAAGCCAUGCCAACAUUGCAUUUGAUAAAACAAGGGGAGACUUUUCCCAAGAGUUGUGUGAAGACGGCUUGUUUCCAAAGCCGCAGCCUGAUUAUUCUCAUUGUAGUUAACCAUAUACCAAAUAUCUCCCUCUUCCAGCGACUUAGAGAUGCAUGAAGCAGAGGAGAUUCGGCUUUUCUCAAACACCAAAGCAUUUCUCCCUUUCCAAAGGUUCCAGAGUAUCCAAGGGAAGGACUUAAUAUUACCAUAAUCUGUCCUCUGUUUUUUUUUUGUGCUUGCUACCAGAUAGGAAGGUUCAGAAAGAUAGAUGACUGCGAAAAACCAGAGGGAGGAGGCUCUAUUUGUUCCAGACGCCGGGCUUCCACUGCUGUAGGACAGUGAACAGGACAUGAAAAAUCGUUUCCAAGGCUUGACAACACGCAUGACAAAUUGUGUUUGACCAUUCAUAAUUCAAAAGCACAUAAUAUUCACUAAUACACAGGUACAAUAUAAAAAGUAGAGUUAUUAUAUUUAUAUUUGUAGUUUACUAAUUUAUAACAGUAUAAAUGUUUUUCCUAGAAACUUACUGAUGAAGUCUCCCACUUCUUUUUCAAGUCCUCACCACUUAAACGCACGCACAGGCACAGAUGAAUGGUGCACUUGAGGAUGCUGUUGAGUCUGUGAUAGUCUAUAGUAAUUGUUCUGGUCCUCCUAACAAUCCCUCAUUUACAAAUUCUUAGCGAUCUAGACCACCUUUUGAAACCUUAAUUAAAAAUGAUGUAUGCAGAAUGUAACAGACAUCAUACAUAUGACGUUACGUAAUCCCAUCUUAACAAGCCUGAAUAUAAAAAAUUUAUAUAAAAGGUAUUAAUUUCCUAAACCAUUAGAUGAUCAGCGCACUGUCUGUACGGUGAUGCUGGAUCUGCUUUACAAUCAAAAAAAAUCUGAAUCGCACUGCAGUGUAUAAAUAUUCAAUAGACAUCAUGAUUGAGUUCUUCUGAAUCGUGGAUCCUACACAGACUAAUCAAACAAUGAAUGGGAAGCGUCUGAAAUCAUCAGAAAAGGAAAAAAGGAGAAAGGAAAAAUGAACUAAAGCGGAAAAAAUUACACUGGAUUUGGAUGCGGAGGAGAGAGAGAGAUAAGAAGCAUAGAAAACUUGAAACAAAUCUGCAACUCGAUACAAUCUCUUCAAUAUAUAAACUUCUGAACAGUUACAAGAAAAUGAUGACGGUUCCACAGAAGAUCUAGAAGAUCUGAGUGUGAAAAGAUACAACCUUUAAGGAAAAAACAGAUGAUCUGUUUAAGAGACGCCUGUGAGGAGGUAUGAUGAAGCCGUCGAUUGCUAUAGUAAAUCUAGUACGUCAUUCUUUUGUUUCUAAACAAAACCUUAACCAUUAAAUUAUAUCACAGACACGAUUCUCACCAUUAGAUUUUGAUUUUUUUUCCUAUAAUAAAUUGAUGAUGUCAUCAGUUAGAUAAAAAAGAUUUGCUAUUAUAUAUAGAUAAUAAAUAUAUACUAUUUCUAAAUUCAAACCCUAAACCCUAAAACUCAAUUCUAAACCCUAAAUCAUCAAUCAUAAACCAUAUUUUAUUUUGAAAUAUGAACCCUAAACCCUAAACCAUCAAUCUUAAACCCUUUAUUUUUUUUUCGAAUUAUACUAUUUUGAAAUAUGAACCCUAAACCCUAAACCAUCAAUCUUAAACCCUUUUAUUUUUUGAAAUACAAACCCUAAAUCCUGAAACAUCAAUUCUAAACUCUAAACCUCGAAACAUCAACUCUAAACCCUAAACCUUCAACUCUAAACCCUAAAACAUCAACUCUAAACCCUAAACCCUAAAAUUCAACCCUAAACCCUAAACCAUCAACACUAAACCAUAAAUUUUCAACACUAAAACCUAAACCCUAAAAAGUAAACUCUAAACCCUAAAAAGAAAACUCUAAACCCUAAACCCUAAAAAAUUGCCCCUAAACCCUAAAACAUCUAACUCUAAACCCUAAACCUUCAACUUAAAACCUAAACCCUAAAUCCUAAACCCUAAACCCUAAACCCUAAACCCUAAAA